UAGCAAACAUGCCCAAUCUUUUACUCACAUUCGAGAAAACACUCCCAACAAGAUUGCUUGCUCCAAAAUCGAAGAGGCACCGCCCUCCGAAUCUCGAGAGCCAGACUCCCAACAUGAUUACUUUCUCAAAAAUCGAAGUGACACUGCUCUCCGAAUCUCGAGAGCCAGACCCCCAUCAUGAUUGCUUUCUUAAAAAUCGAAGAUGCAUCGUUCUCCGAAUCAAUCGAAGAGACGCUCGCUUUCUCAAAAGCUGGGCUGCUCAGAGACCACGAGGGCCGAUCUCAGAAAUCGAAGAGGCACCUACUUUUCUAGCCUUGUCAGCACCUGUCACACGCACACUCAGCUUUGCGGAAAUUAUGGGCAUUCUGUCGAAGACUUCUCGAGAGCACAGACCACUUUUUCAAAGUGCUCUGACAGAGUUAAAACAUGUGAAGCUGGCAGCUCCCACUACCGUGCUAUGACUAAGCAGGGUAAAGGAAUAGCAUUACUACUUGUUGUUAGGGAGACUCCUAUAUAUGUCGACCUCCAUCCCCAACGGACAGGCAGACCUGCAAAAAUGUUCAACCCUUCCUCAUAUUUGAGAGGGCACUCCCAACGAAGCCUUUCGAAAUAUUCAGCUUUCUUUCCCCCCGAUAAUACCUUUGCAAACAAGCUAUACUAGAGCAAGAAUAUCUCAUAUCAUCAGGGUUAAAAGCAAGAGUAUCCCAUAUCAUGCUUUUUCCCUGUCUUUUUCCUUUGGCCUUGUUGUUACCUGCAAGACAAGGAGAAAGAGAGCAAUCAGUCAGCACUUGGAAUCAAGCUUCCAGCCAGGAACUGACUGCCUGGAACCCCUUACGUGAUUACUUACCUGGCAUUGCUCUCGAGUACUCAUCUUCAACAUCUUAUGUUUCCAGGGAAGAUACCGCAUCUGCUUGAGGAACAGAUAGGGCAAUUGCGAAGGAUACAAGGAAGCAUGUGGAGACAAGCGUAACAGCACACGUGCCGAUACAUCCAUUACUCUGUCAAAAGCAAAAGUUUCCCAUAUCAGCAGGGUCGAACGUACUCUAGAUUUGAUGGACUUGUUUUGACCCUCAAAUUCUUCAGUCGGCUCUGGAGGAAACCAGAAAACCCUCCAGCUCAGUUCAAGAAUAAGCCUGUGGAAAGUUACUUCUUCAAAAGCAAAAGUAUCCCAUAUCAUCUCUUCUCAUCUUUCUUCUCUUUAUCCUUCAUGCUGCUGCAAGAUGGGGAGAAGGUGAACAAUCAGCCGGAGCUCUGAUUGCUUACCUUGUCUGUCACCUCUUUCAGCAGAUCCCCUAGCUCGGCGACUUGGGAGACUCCUACUACAUGGUUUGUAUCGCGCUUGACCAAGCCUGAAACUACAAGUAAGCUUCAAGUGAAAUUGAUACAUUACCUUGUGCAUCUCCACCAGUUAAAGAUACCACCCCUGGAUGGAGGAAGAGUACUUCCAGAGAAGAUGCCACAUCUACCUAUGAGACAGAUAAGGCAAGUCAAGACGAUACCACACUCCGAUACUUAGAAGUUUCGUGAUUACGAGAUCAUUCUCUCACAAUAUUUCUUAAUGUCAUUUGUACUAAAUCAUUCACUUGUACUCACUAAAGGAGAGCUUGAACCUAUGUACUUGUGUAAACCCUUCACAAUUAAUGAGAACUCUUCUAUUCCGUGGACGUAGCCAAUCUGGGUGAACCACGUACAUCUUGUGUUUGCUCUCCUAUCUCUAUUCAUUUAUAUACUUAUCCACACUAAUGACCGGAGCAAUCUAGCGAAGAUCACAAAAAGCGACCGUUUUUGCUGCCUAGGAUCUAUCUUGCAAGAGAACGGAGAAUUAGAUGGAGAUCUCAACCAUAGAAUACGACCUGGACGGAUGAAGUGUAAGAGUGCAUCCGGCGUGUUAUGUGACCGUCGUAGGCCACUGAAGCUCAAGGGAAAAUUUUAUAGGACGACAAUAAGGCCAACGAUGUUGUAUGGCACAGAAUGUUGGACGGUGAAGCAUCAACACGUACACAAAAUGGGUGUAGCGGAGAUGAGGAUGCUUCGUGGGAUGUGUGGGCACACGAGAAAGGAUAAGAUUGGGCAUGAGGAUAUCCGAGGUAAAGUAGGAGUAGCCGAAAUUGAAGGAAAGAUGAGAGAAAAUCGGUUCCGGUGAUUUGGACAUGGGCAAAGAAGGCCGACUGACGCUCCGGUUCGAAGAUGUGACUACGGGACAGAGGUUCAGGGCCGAAGGGGUAGAGGAAGACCUAGGAAAACUUUAGAAGAGACUCUAAGAAAAGACUUAGAGUACUUGGAUCGAACGGAGGACAUGACACAAAACUGAGCGCAAUGGCGUUCUAGGAUUCAUAUAGCCGACCCCACUUAGUGGGAAAAGGCUUUGUUGUUGUUGUUGUACCAUCAAAUCUUUGAAAAGUUUAACUCAACGUGUGCGUACAGUACACAAACAUAUUUCUACAUGUAAUUAUGCAUGUGGUUUGCUUUGGGUUUUUUUUUCCGCUCCUAUUACAUUCUUGUCUUAUACCAUAUGCAACGAAGUCAACAAUUAAUGUAAGAUCCGACCCUCCAACCCCAUGUAGAUGCAAACUUGAGCAUAACAAGAUAAUCAGAUAAGAAUGUACCCAGCAAAUGCCAGCAUAUCCAUCUCAAAACGAAGAUGUAUGGACAUGAAGUGACCUCGUGAGCGAAGCUUAUCUACUAUUGAUUGACUUAUCUUCAUUAUAUUUGUCUUGAACCUCAGAGCAUGAUAGUUAACCCUGCACCUUAACCGUUGAUACUCAGGGUUGUCAAUUUCUUCUGCCAAGCGAUGUGAAAAGGGAGUAAGAUAAAUAGCACCAUGCUCCUUCAUUUUCGCAAGUGCAUCUGUAGUAUACCAACUGAUAGGAGCAUCUCGAGGGGGACGAAGCUGAGACAAGGUUUAGAGGAAGAGGGAGUUAACAUUUCAAACCUAUUGAAGAAUUCAAAUAGAUUUCUGAUUUUGAAUUUGAUGAUAAAAAAUACAGAUGAUUUACCUGUACAGCUUUUAUCUUCUUGGUCUUCCCAUUUUUGCGAAUUUCUGGUAUUUUUUGUACUAUUUUUACAUCAUACCUCAAUGACUGGAUAAAAUGCUCAACAUCAUAGAUACCGCCGAAACCACUGCACAUGUUACAUAACAAUUUAUAGACUUAACAGAAACCAGCAUACAAUUGACAAUGAAAGUGCAUAAGACACAUUACUCACAGUUCGUCAGAACGAAUUCCUUUGCUUUUCCAAGAAAAUAUAAGAUUUAUGUCGUUACCAUAAAGUAGGAAGGGAGAUAUUCAUAUGAAACUAUGCAAAAAGAUGCUAAUGGUUUUGCAAGAAAAUCCAUUCAUGCAGAUAUCUUGAAGCUUUCUCUUUCCAUUCAACAAAGCAAUAGACCAGUCAUUGAAAUGUCUUUUUAUUCACAGAAUUGACUAAUUAUAUGUGACACGUCUCCUAUGUAUCUGCGUUUUUGUCACAAUUUUAUCUACCUCAUCUCUCUUGGUUAAUACUUAAUAGCCUCAGUCAGAAAAUAAAGUUUAUAAGUCUAUAAAAUGCAAAUUUUGAAUACACCAAGAAACCAAAUCUGCCUAUGUGAAUUAAGGAUCAAAGAACCAUUGAAAUAGAUACCUGUCAUCAUGCCAAAAAGAGUUUGCAUCCAGUUCUGGCAGCACAAGUGUAGCAUUCAUGAUUCUUGCUGCGAGAACAGCAUUGCAUAUCUAAAACAUCCAAGGGAGUAAUAGAAGGCAAAUAUUUCCCUCGUCAGAUACAUGAGUGAAAAUAUGUAAUUACAGACCAUAGAAAACAGAAAAAGAUACGAACCGCUGUACGUUGUUGAUUGAGACCGCCAUUACAGCGCACGCGUAGGUAGCCAUUAGUCUCACUUGGUGGAGCUGCCACAGUAGAAGCAUCAGAACAAUUUUAAAACAAACUUAUUGAAACCAUUCAUUGGGGGGAAAAAAAAAGGAAAGACAUACGGGGCCAAUCAGAUCGUGGAGCUGAUGAUGGUCUCCAACCACCAGAAUCAGCACUUCUCCAAAGUUUAUCCAAGUUAAUCUGCACAAACAUGGCAAGAUAACUAUGAGUCGAAUUUUCAGCAUAUAAUAACAAUCAGUUCCAAAGGUCACAGUAAUUCUUAUCUUCCUCGAACAAACAGAACCUCUUAACUUCUCAAGAGUGUUUUGAAGACGAAAGGAGACGUGUGAUUUAAGGUGACAAACUAAAAAUGAUAUCCCACCUUUGUUAACCCUAUCGCACACAUACAUGAACAAUGUAUAAGCUUGCAAACAUUAAAACUUCAACAUAGGGGCCACCACAAAAUACGCAAUAAAAACUCUUAGUAACAUUGAGAUGUCGAAUUAAUAUAAUCAAAUGCAUCUCAGAAAGGUACUUUGUGAGGCCUAAUUUUUUCAUAGUUUUAGAUAACGUAAAAUUGGAUAUGACCUGAGUACUUACGCUUGAUUGCUUCAUUUUUUACAUAAUUUAAUUACAUAAACCAAUCAUCUUGAUCAACAAGUUAGAAGAUACUGGAUCAUCAUCCUAAUUAUCUUUGUCAUUGAUUAGAAAGAACGGAAAAAAUAUUAUAGAUCAUUAAUUUCCAACAAUCUCAUCCAUAACAAAGAUAAUCUCGGCACAUAGGUGGCAAAACAAAGCGGCAGAAUUUAGCUUCCGGCGGUCAUUUGAAUGCACCUAAAAAUCUAAAUUAACAAUCAAAUCACUGCCUCAACACGAUAACAUACCAACAAACCACUCCCAAAUACACUGAUUUAUUCACAUAGAGCUCCUAAUUCUCAUAAUUUCCAGGCAUCAGUGACAUUUGCAUACAAAUAAUCAUAAUUUAAGUAAACCAUCGUCCUUUUCAAGUUAAAGCUCGAGCCGUCAUUCGAAAAAAAAAGCACUUCUUCAUCGUUAUAACUAACUCCGGAAAUCAAACCGAAAACAAAAUGCCUAAACUAACAUACCAAACUCUACUCACAGUAAUAAUAAAACCAUCGAAUUCGGAAAAACAACUAAAAAAAAUUUCUCAUCAACCAAACAGACUAGACUUCUUCCAAAGCUAAAAUUCAACGGAGUAAAUCCGAAAGCUCAGCUUCCAACUAACCUCGGAGCCAAAUCCAGAUCCACCACCACCGCCGCCGCCGCUGGUCGUGGUCAUAACCAGAAACGAAACGGUGCAGAUCAGGAGAACCACGACGCCGAUCAAUAACCUCCCAAGCGUGCCCUUCAUCACCCCUCCUCCUCCUCCGGCAGCUUGCUUCGAGUGCUGCCGCCCCGGUCUGCAUCAAAUCAACGGAAAAAAUGGGAUUACUUUGUGUUUGGUUAGCGGGAAACUAGAGAAUCGGAGUGAGGGAAUGGAAGGAAUUAGUUGGGAUUUACCUUCGCAUUGUAAUUUGUGAUGAGAAAAUUCAGCUUCUUUCUUCCUUUCUUACACUUCAACUGCUGCCACUUUGUGAUCUCAAGUCGCAAGGAAAAUAUAUUCAGUGUUGAAAUUAUAUAAAUAAAAAUGAAAUAAAUUGUUCCAUAAAAAUUAAAAAAGAAAGAAAGAAAUAAACUGUGUUUGUCCGGUCGGCCACACCCACACCCACUAGGGCCACUCUACCACCACCCGGGCUCCAUACUCAUUUAUUCUUCGUAAUUACUGUGUUUUUUUUUUAAAUUACUUUUUCUGUGCAUGAGAUAAACGGUUAUAAAAUAAAAUUGUUUAGUAUUUGAUAAACUUUUUUUUAUCUAAAAGUUCUUUUAACAAAAAAAUAGUGUAUGAACGUUUGAUAAACUUUUAUAUAUGUAGUAUCCCAUAUCGGUGGGGUGGAGGUUAGUCCCUGGCCUUAUAUGUAUAUGCUCCUCUUCUUAGCAGUGAGGUUCUCUUGCUCACGAAUAAAUUCGUGAGGGUGUGGUCCAAAGCUAACAAUAUCGUGCUACGACGAAAUUGAGAUGUGACAAUUUGGUAUCAGAGCCACUCCCCUACUGGAAGUGUGCCGACAAGGACGUCGGGUCCCUAAGGGGAUGGAUUGUAAGAUCCCACAUCGCCUGGGGGGAGGAUGUGAUGUGCCUUAUAUGUAUAUGUCCACCUCCCUAUAGUGAGACGCGUUUUGGGUGGAAACUCAAUAACAAAUCCGUAAGGAUGUGGCCCAAAACGGAUAAUAUUUUACCAUGCUGACUGAGAUGUGACAAUAUAAAUUGCUUUAAAUAUGUUCAAUGACUAAAAAGAAUAUGAUAUUUAAUGUGAUAUAAUAAUUUCAAAGAAAAUAAUGUAAGCACAAUGAUAUAAUUUUGUAAAAUAUGUGAGGUUGUACUUGUCAUUUGAAAAUUUCAUUAAAUAGGCACUGAUUACUAUGUUUUUUUUUAAAAUAAAAAAACACUUGUUUUAGAAGUAUGCUAGAACAUACUUCUGGUUUUUUAUGUUUUUCUACCAUUAUUGACAUCAGUUUAAAAAAAAUUGUUUUAUCAAACACAUUUAAUAUUCCAGAUUUUUUAUUAAGUUGUUUUUUUUUUUAAAAGCACUGUAAUCCCAAGCCAGCCGUAAUAAACACAGGUUUGAAUGCAACUGCAUACACUCCACAUCAAUCUUGGAGGACUACGAGUGGAAGAACUCCAAUCAUAAAAAGGGCUUGAUUAUUUAUCACUCAUUCAACUUUAGUACUGUAAAUAUCUCUCAUCUCAUCAAUAUGAGAUUUACUCUCAACACUAGUUAUAUUAGUGUUCAUAAUUGAUUUCUUAUGUGUAAUAUUAAUUGAUAUAUCCCCAUUCAAUUCGAAUUAGCAAAAGCAAUAUCUCAAUGCAUAAUAUGGGAAUGUCGAAGAGUUGAAAUAAGUGUAGAUCUGGAGAUUCCCGAAUAGGUUAACCUUUCAAACUGCAACUUAAUCCAUAUGCCUUCGGGAACACGGGCACAAGUGAUGCAUAGUUGUCGUCAACUCGUGCCGUAAGGUGUGAGUUAAGUCUAGUAAUGAGCGCAACCUUUGUGUUUAGUUGUCACCGUUGAGUUUGGAACCCUGAGCAAACUGCCGGUGGUGUUCUUUUAGGCACUUCAAGUACUUUUUCAUAAUUCACUUACAUUUUUACUAGACCAGUUACGUAAAUAUUUUCACCAAAAACGUUUUUAGUCAUUUUAAAAACAUUUUCAAACAACUUCGUACAUUUUCAUAUAAAAGCAAAGUGCUUCCCUUGUAAAGUCUAGAGCUUUUGUGCUUCCUACAAGUCUAGAGCUUUUGUGCGUCCCUAGUAAAGUCUAGAGCUUCUCACAGUAAACAAAAAUGGCGUCUCAGUUGCAGAAGAUCGAAGGAGACGAAUCCGUACUGCUCCGCGUUACACAUUCCAAUCUGAAGACCUUCUCCGCCGACAUCCGCUUCUCCCUCCAGAGCUCCGUCGAGUCCGUCAAGGACAAGCUCUGGCGCAAAUGCGGCACCUCCGUCGAUUCCAUGUCCCUCCACCUCUACGACGACGCCAACACCCUAGUCUCCACUCUCACCGACAACUCCAAACCCCUCGGCUUCUAUUCCCCUCACGACGGGUCAGCUCUCCCUCUCCCCCUCUCUCUCGCAUGUUAUUUGUUAAUUGUGAUUUUUUAUUUGGUUGCAUUCUGGAUUAGUAAGAUUGUUGCCUACAUCGUGUUUGAUAAAAUGCCGCAAUGAAUGUAUGUUAGAGAAGUAUAAGAAUAUGAACAGACAAGUUGAUGUAAAAUUGUAAUACAAAGAUCAAUUUGGUGUAUAUUAAACCGAAACUGAAUCGAGGGUAUACAAAAAGGAGAAAGAAUUGAAAACUGACUGUAUGAAUUGAUAGGGGCUUGCAGAGCGUGUUACAAUGCCCUUAUAGACAGAAUUUCGCCUCUACUUUGUCGAUGUCCACCGGAAUUACUCUUAUCGAAUUCAAGUUCCUAGCACAUGUAUUUUUCUCCGAAAAUAUAAUGAGAGCGCGCCUUAUCUUUUGAUUAAUUAAUCAUCCCGUUUCUAAGCCACAUGGACGAUGGAUCCGUCCAUGGUGAUUCCUUUACUCUAAAUUACUAAGUCAUAUCGACAUAGGCGUAUGAAAGAGAUGUUGAUGAGUUGCUCUCAUCAAUGUGGGACAAUAGCACUUUUAAUUUUCAUUCGAACUCCAACAAUGUAGAAUAUGAUUUGGUGAUUCUUUUGGUUGGCGAUCUCUCUAGGUUGGCCAGCUACUCAAUCUGACAAAGUGAUACCAAUGUUUGUUAGAAACUACUGGUUCACAGUUGCAGUGUUUUGUUAGUGAGACCAAUGUUUGUUAAUUGUGAUUUUUUGUUUGUUUUAUGUGUUUUCGAAAUCGAAAGAUUCCGGCUACAUGUUGUAGACUUGGAUCCUUCGUCGGUGACCUCCGGGGGGUGGCUGGAGGACACAUCGUUGGUGGAGAAGUACACCAUUUCACAAGAAGCUUAUGAGAAGAGGGAUGGUGAGAGUUUCCCAAUAUAUUUGUAAUUUUAUGUGAAUAAUGUCUGUAAAAUGUGUGUUUUUAUUUAGUUCAAUGCAUAUUCUUAUUGUUUUGUCUGAGGGUUCGUGUUUCCGGGGUUUUGUGAUCAGGUACUUUCAGAAAAUUUAAGGACAAAUUGGUAUCGCAGAACCCAUCAGCAGUUGAGAACAAAGUAAGCGUUUCCUAUAUAUGUUAUUUGUUCCUUCUGUAAUCAAAUUACACCCCGUUGCUUCUACUGGUGUUUGCUAAUCAUGAAUCAAAUUGAGUUGCUUAGUUGUUAGUCAGCAUUGCAUGUGGAAGUGAAUGGAUGUGUUGAUAAGUUUGUUGACAGAAGUUUCUCUUUGUAGAUACCAGAGAACUACAUGGAAGAUCUCUGUGUGAAUAUUAAGGUCCGUACUUUUCCCUUUUUAGUUAUUGGUGAUACAAGCAUUUUCAGUCCCUUAAAAUUAAUCUAUAACAUUUUAUAAGUAUGAACUGGCGUCGGUUAGUAAUGAACUUAGAUAUGCUGAAUAGAAGAUGGAAAAGAAGAAGCUUAAGAAACCAAUAGAUUCUGAUUGCAGAUCAAGUAAAUUAGUCACUAUUUAUAAUAUUCGUAUCGCUACUUGAUCUUGUGGAAUCACACUGUACUUUAAUGAGCUGCAUCUACACUUGAUUCAUAGACCACUCAGUAAAAUCUCUUUCUUUCUUUAAAUACUUGAGUUAUAUGUAUAUUUUUCUGGUGGCCAUAUAAUCUAUGAAAUUUAAGAUAGCGCGAGUUAAAGUUUGUAGAAUUUAAGUGGACCUAUUCAGAGUAUUGUGCCAUUAAAUGGUGAGUGUGUAAGAAUAAUCUGACCCUUAGACAACCGAAGAAUAUGAAGUCAUAGUUGACUUCAAUAGUAAGCUUCUUCUCUUUUGCAGAAACAAUAUGCUCGACUUACAAUAGGUCUAAGUCCAAUAAUGAGCACCAUAUAUUGUGAGAGCAGUGGCCACUAUUUAUAUUGAAACAAUCCUUGUGAUUCCCCUAUUAAAAUCAGGGUAGGAAACUGACACACAAUUCCCAUCCAACUAUGAGUGCUGAGUAUCAAAAUUUAAUUAAAGUUUCAAUCCCAAACUGAUCAGGACAACUUUAAACUCUUCAACAAGAUCUUUCUAUACCAAUUUGUAACACUAUAGCCAGUUUCUAGCAAUCACAAUCAUACUCAUAUUCUAACAGAUUGUCCUUCAAACCUUGUCGGUUUGAAUCAUUAGCAUCUAGGCGAAUCAUUUUUUAGAUGCAGUUGGCAUUUUCUUCAGCAUUCUAUAUGGAACUUGAACUGUAGUUUAAUAUGAAUAAAUGAACUUUUUAAUACCAUUUUCUUUCUUGCUUUCUUGUAUUUUGUCUAGGAGUUGAGAUAAUUCUUGCUUUCCAUGAUCUUCUUCAAAUUACAUGUGUUAAGUUUCAAUUUAUCUUGUCUUAUUUCUUGCGGAGCAAUAAUCAUGAUUGCGUUAGAUGUCUUCAUUUAUAUGUUGAAGGUAGGAGAUAGAUGUGAAGUUGAACCAGGGGCUAAAAGAGGUGUUGUUAAAUUUGUCGGUCGGGCGGAACCUCUAGGUCCUGGUUUCUGGAUUGGAGUUCAAUACGAUGAACCCUUGGGAAAGCAUGAUGGCAUGUAAGUGAGCUCCUAAAUCAUGAGACGUCUUUUUGAUUCUUGUAUGCCAAUAAUAAAUAUUGUCAAUUUUCCUUUUUGUGUUCGCAACAUAUUUCUCAGUUAUAAAAUUUAAACUGCUUUUGGGAAUUAAUCUUGCAUUCCUGUCUUCUGCAUAUUAUUUGGUUGACGUUAUUCCCCUUCUUCAUGUGAUAGGGUGAAGGGAACGCGUUAUUUCAGUUGCCCCCCACUUCAUGGUGGAAUGGUUCGGCCAGAAAAAGUAAAGGUUUGUAUGCCUUACUCUGGACAUGCUUUAAAAUGUUUUCCUCCUGAUUUCCUUGUGAAGAUGUGAAGUAUAUUAAUCUUUGCUUCCAUUUGGUUAUUUGGCAAGAAGUAGGAAUGUGUUUGUUUUAAACUUUAAUACGACCUGUUAGCUCAUGUUGCCACCCAUCUGUGUGCUUGGAAUAAAUCCCCUUGUCAUGACAAAAGAAAUAAAUAAGCCAAGAUGACAAACACAAGGGAAUACCAAGAUACAUAUUUCAGCAAAAACCUGCCUACACCGCCGACUAGCUUUCACCUUUCCUAAAUAAACUUGUACAAAAUAAUGCUCAAGAACUACUCUCAAACCCGAGCCCUUGCAUCCAAUAUGGAUACCCCUUGUACACCCCCUCUAAAGUCAUAGAAGUAUACUGUACCUUUCUCCAGUUCUCCCUCCACCAACUCACCUUUUCUUCUCAAAAUAAAACACUUUGAGUUGAAUGAGGAAUGAGGCGGAAGCCUCCAUAACGGUCACAUGUGUGAUAAAAAGUUACUGAAAGCCACUUUGUAAAUAUUCAACCAAAAAGUUUUGGCCACGAUGUUUCCACAUUUUGUAUGCCUGCAUACAUACUCUCUGUAUCUGAUUCUUCACAAGUUGUUAACACCGUUCUGGUGCAAAAACCGUUCCAAUCUGAAAUGUUAAAUGCAAUUAUUUUAAAUGACCUAGAGAAAGACCCUGCUUAUGAAUUGAAAGGAUUUCUUUACAACAUGGCCUUUUUGUGUAUUCACUGUACGACUUCUUUAUGGAUUUGACUAAUGUGACGAGUACACUUUCAGGUUGGCGACUACCCUGAACGCGAUCUAUUUGAGGAGGAUGAAAUUUAAGCAGGUCUUAACGAGAGUACUUCUGUACUUCCAUGUUUCGGCGUGACCCUUUUGAAGCAAUCAUGUUUAAGUUUCCUUAAUUACAUUUGUUUUUGGUUGUAAUAUUAUCGGGAGGGAGUUAUGCGUGUGAAAAAUCCUUUGAUGUGUUCAAGGCAAGGGAAAAGUUGUUAAGGUUCCUCAAGGGUCGGAGCGGAACAUUCGUUUUGAGUCUGCCACCCGUAGUAGGUUACCGGAAUGCUUGCUAGUUGCUUUGCAGCUUGUUGGGAGGAAAUCUGGGGAUAAAAGAGGGUAAAGAAACGAUGGUGUUGUCGAGGUUCUUCGGAUUGGGUUAUCUUACAAGUGUGUGACGAGUUUGCGAACUGGAGUUGGAAUUCAUAAUUUGUGAUGGGAUUCUAGGCUGCUAUGAAUGUGAAGUGGCAAGUACACAUUAUCAUUUAAUGUGUUUGGGAUUAUUGAGUUUGUGAAUAUCCAUAAAAAAUAUCUAAAACAAAAUAAAAAAUGCAUAUUGUGCGUGUUUAAUGCGGAGAGGUUAGUAACAAUUAAUUAGGUAUAUAUAAUAUGGCCAUACUGUAUAACCCUAAACCUUAAUUCUGCCGCAAUUCGCCCCGGUGGCAUCCUAAUAGUAUGAUCCUUUCCGUUGGUGCACAAGUAGAGGAAUGCAGCGGAAAAAACAUAGGUGCGAAAAUCAUUAUGCCAAAAUCAUCUGGUUCUUACAGGGUCCUUGCCCAAACACGAGGUUGAAGUUAUGAAUUCAUAUUAUUGAGUGAGGAUCCUCGCCGGAUCCUUUUUGUGAGGAUUCUGGGGAUUUUCAAAUCAUAUUCGUUCAUCAUACAUCGUGCGACUAGAAAUUAUUAUAAAUUUUUGUAUAAAAUUGAAUAUAAACAGUAUCUGACAAAAACUGGCAGCACGAUAUACGAUGAAUGGAUGUGAUUGGAGGAUUCCCGGGAAGCUCACAAAGAGGAUCAAGCGAGGGUCCUCUCUCCAUAUUAUUAACCCUUCUGUCAGUCUAUCCGUUAAGUUAGCAUACAAAGUGUAAUUGUAGAACAUGAAGUGACAAGUACUAUUCCAUAGUUAAGUAGGUAAAUAGGAUUUCCGUGGAAAGGUUAAUAACAAUCCGACCUUAGCUCAGUUGGUAGAGCGGAGGACUGUAGUUGUGUAAAACAGACAUCCUUAGGUCGCUGGUUCGAAUCCGGCAGGUCGGACAUUUCUUUUUUACCCUUUUUCAAUUUCCUUAUCAACGCUCCGAACCCCCGAUCGCUGAUUGCUCCCUCUUUCUCUCUCUCUCUCUCUCUCUCUCUCUCUCUCUCGCCAUACAUCUUUUUUACCCUUUCUCUCUCUCGCCUGAACCAGUCCCUCUGCUCUGCUCUGCUUCUAACAUGGUAAACCCAUCGGAUCUGUGAGGUCAAUUUUUAUUUUCUCACUCUCUGUUUGGUUGCUGAGAAAAGUGUGUAACGGAGUCGCUUUCUCGGCGGCCAAACAGACCCUUAAGGAAAAAUUUGAGAUCAUUAAACCAAAUUUGCAUGAUCUCUUGGGCAUAUAGUUCGCUUAAUUUCCAUUGAAAUUGUUAUUUUUGCAGUUCCUUAUAAUUCUGACAAGCUUUUUCUUUUUCUUUUUUUCCAGUCGAACUCAUUGCGAUUGUACUUGGCGUGUAUAAGGAACACUCUCGAUGCCGCAAUGUGUCUACAGGUAGGUCUUCCCAUUUUCGGGUCCAGUUUUAUGCGAAAGCCGAGCCCUUUUAGCGCUGUUAAUUUCGAUAGAGAUCUGAUUUCUUCUCUACCUGCCUGUUUUUCAUGUUGAAUAUCUGUUAUGUUUAUGUGUAAAAUUAAAAGAAUUGGGCAGAUAGCACUUGUGUUAGUAUUCAGAUGGGAAUUGGUGAAUUUCCACAUGCUUAUAAUGCCUGAUUGAUUCUGUAUCGUGUGCGUACGACGUGCUGCUUGCAGAAUUUUCCUUGUCAAGAAGUUGAAAGGCAUAACAAGCCGGAAGUUGAGCUGAAGUAUGUUCACUUGCUGCCGCAUUAAAUUCUUUAAAUUCUUAAUUUUAAUGUUUUGUAAGUAGUAAGAGAAAACAGGCUGCUUACUUAAAUCUAUUAAGGUGGCCAGUAGAGAAAUGGAUGUCUGUAAUUAUAUGCUAUUAAACUAAGUUUUGUCACAGUAAGGCUUAAUUCAUUACUGUUUGCUGUUUUUUUGUGUUUUAAGAAAUAUCUAGAUUAGUCGUUUUGUAUGACAAGUUAGCGCAAAGUUUACUGGUAAAUGAUGUAAGGAAAUCCGAGUGAGACUAUUUGGAUAUCCAAGUGAGUCUAUUUGGAUAUAGUGCCAUUAUCAGAGAAAUCCCAUCCCUACAUUGUCAAUGGAAAUUAAAACAUGAGCACUCCUAUCGCGGAAGGCUUUCCUCAUUGUGCUACCCUUUUUUUUUUUACAGGCAUGAUAAACACAUGCAUAUUGUGUAUUGAGUUUACCCAUAAUUCAGAAUUUAUGUUCUUUUUGGCGGAAGUUUUAUUAAAACUAAUCCAAAUAUAUAGUACAAGAUGUCCUCCCUAGGAAGACUAUCGCGUUUCCUAUGCCUCAUCAUGUCCUUUAGUGAUUCUUUUGUCCUUCAAAUUUUCACUUUUCAUGUUUUUGCAUGUAUUUGGACACAUUUAGUAAGGUCGUAUGAGAACAAUUGUGUUGCUCACUAUAAAAUGGUGGUUAAAUUCAAAGGAUGAAGGAAACUUAGAACUAUUGACUAAUGUGUUUAGCUGAGAAAGUGUUAAUCUUCUCUUCAUGUUUUGCAGGACCAGCUCAGAACUUCUGCUAAAUCCUGUAAGAACCAUCUUAUUGGCAUGAUAAAGAUCAGUUGCCACCACCCUCUUUUUCUCUUGUCCUUAUCUUAAUGCUUAACAAAGUUGGUUGUCAUUGAACACUUGAACUCUGAUGAGCCAGAUACUCCUAAAAAGAAUAUGACGGAUAUCUUAAGCUCAUGUUACCAAGAUUUCGUUAUGUUUUGUUUUCCGUAAAAAUAUGACGCUGAGCUUUUUGUAUUAUUGCUGUCACAGGUUUUGAUAUGUCGAAAUGAGGCUGAAAAAUGCUUAAUAGAGACAUCUAUAAAUUCCCUUCGGAUAAGCCUCAAGGUGAAUAUACUUUAUUACAUAGUUGGUAUGCUCAAUGGCAGAUGUUCGCUUGGACAAUGUUGUUGUAUUUUGUUUACCGUUUUAUCAUUGACUCAGUAUCUUAUAAAGAAAAGCCAGAAGCUACAUACUUUGAAUUGGGGCUCCGAGUUUGUAAUCUGUGCACCUUCUAAUUUUUAGGAUAGAUUACAAUUCUUGCCUGAAAGAUUUGUAGUUGUAUAUAGAAUUGAUAUCUAUAUCGUUUUUUAUUUUCCCCUUAUCUCUGUUUUUUUUCGGGUGCUCUCUCUUGUAUAGGUAAAGCAGGCAGAUGAGCUUGAAAAUAUACUCACUAAAAAAUUUCUUAGAUUUUUGUCGAUGAGAGCAGAAGCAUUUCAGGUGUUGAGGAGAAAGCCAGUGCAGGUACAUUAAUUCUUUUGUGUAUAGGACAAUAUAUUAUGUAGAUGAAGUCGCAAUAAUUACUCAGCCUUUUUUUUUUAUUUUACUAUGCAGGGUUAUGAUAUUAGUUUUCUUGUAACAAAUUAUCAUUGCGAGGAGAUGCAGAAGCACAAGCUCAUCGAUUUCAUUGUACAGUUCAUGGAGGCAAGCAUUUUCCCAAACCCUAUAAAAUUCCAUGCUUAAUAGUGUUUAUAUUCGUACGAGUUUUGAGUCACAAAAAAACUGGUCAAUUUGUACAUUUGAGAAUACCAAUUGCCUCUAGUUGGGAUGGCGUAGGCUGUUUUUGGAGCAUGCAAAUUUAAUCUCUGGAGCAAGUUUCUUAUCGUUACACGGCUCGAAACUCGUAUGAUAUUAUCGACGUGUACACGAUUAAUAGUGUUUAUAUUCGUACGAGUUUUGAGCCGUAUAAUGUUGUGUUCGAAUUGUUAACUCUCAAUUGCUUCUUUGGGCUGCAGGAUAUUGAUAAGGAGAUAAGUGAAUUAAAGAUGUCAGUGAACACCCGGGGGAGGCUGGUUGCCACAGAGUUUCUGAAACAAUUUAUGUAAUAUUUCUGUCACCAAGUUGUAUAUGAAUUCUGCUUUCACAUACGCUGUUGAACCAUCAGACAAUUUUUUCUGUUACCGUCUCAUAACGGUUUGCCAAUGGUAUGAAAGAAGCUUUGGAAGUGAGUUGCUUUACAUAGCCCAUAUGACCAGUAUUAUCUAUGUUAUAAAUAGGUUCGUGUUUUAAUCACAAAUGGUCUCUGUAAUUACGCCAAAUGCAUUUAUUCACUCAAGUCAAAGACCGAGAUGUUCAUCGAUGUCGUCUUCUUUUCUGUUUAGAUUUCGUGAAAGCGUGUUAGUGUUUUCAAUCACGGACUUCGGUUUUGAUUCCGUCACAGUUUGUUUGUGUGCUCACGUGCCACGCGUGGGGCGAAUUGACUGUUGAGUAUUAAGAUUCUCGACUUUCUUUGUUUUUGAAUAUUUUAUUAAAAUAUAUGUUUCAUGUAUGUAUAAUUGUUAGUCUUCUAAGUUCUAACAUAACAAAAAAGUUAAAAAGGCAGCCGUGUAAUCUCACAAAACAAAAUUUUAAUAUUUUUUAUUUAAGUUUCACCUACCGGUGAUUUUAACGUCUCAAAUUUUCUCUAAUUUUAUAAAAUUAGAGGAAAAAAAUAAAAAUAAACCUCUCCCCACUCCCAUGUACUCUCUCUCUCCUCCUCACCUUUUAAUAAAAACAAAAUUAAAAGGAAAUUAUUAUUAGUCAUUCAAAAAUUUCAUUCGACACUCCAAACUUUCUAUAAUUAGAAAGAAAAAUACACUUAUGAGGAAUGUAGAAUGAAAUUUUUGAAAUACUAAUAACAAUUCCCAAAUAAAAAAUGUUCAGUUGCAUUGUCUACCUUUUGCCUUCCGUUAUUACAAAUCUUUCAAUUGUUAUAAUAUAAUGAGUUUUUUAGAAUAGUAAUAACAAUUCUAUUAAGUAAAACAAUAAAAAGGGCCAAUUGCCAUGUAAUCGUGUGACAAGAAGCUAGUAUUUUAUAAAAUCUCAGGUAUAAUGUACAAAUAUGUCUUGACUGAGCUGAUACCUAUGAAAAGCAACUACAUAAGUUAGUUCUUUCUUCAAGUACAUAUAUACACACAUCUCCCAGAAUCUAUCAUUAUACAUACAACAGCGACUCGAUUCUUCACUGAACCAUAACAAGUCCUGCUAGAGUUAGUAUAUCGUGGCACGCCUGAUCGUAGUUGCUGCAACGCAAAUUCCAGCAAACCAACCGGACUAGCACAUCGGUAGGAUAUGACACAGAUACGAUAAAAUCUGGUCAAAUGAGAGCAGCAACUCAAUAUGUAGUUGUAUAAAAGCAUAGCUGCUGCAAUUGUACCAAAGCAGAGCAGAGAUCACUAUGUACCUUUCUGUUCUUGUAUCUACACAUGCUAUUAAAACCUGUACCUGCUGAACUGAACUUUGGAUGCAGCCCAAAGCCGAUCAGUCACAUGGGGGCUGGCCUAUGAAGCACCGUUCACGACAGCAGGAAUAAUUCCUUGUGAUGCUUAGGCAUCGAAAGAUUCAAAUGCAGCUUGCCCGACUGACACAAUUUCGCAGGGUUCUUGUAUACCGAGACCCUUGCAGCAUUAUUACCCAACAAAAUGACAUGCAAAAUGCUGAAAGCUUCACCUUUUUCAACUGCGAAUUGCCACUCCCUCAUUGAUAUGCGAAACCAGUCUUUUGUCCGGAACUGGGUUGCUUUAACUUCAAUGAACUCGGUACUAUCUUCCUUCUCCCCUAUAACUAUGUCAUAGGGAAGCCCGGUUUCGUUACAUUCAUUGACCCACUUCACAACAGACUUUCCAGCUUUUGCUAUCAAGUAUUUAAAAGCAACAAGCUCACCUAGUCUCCCGGUCAGCAUCGCAUCUCUUCCAUCUCUUCCACUGGAUGUACCAGCAUGUCUAGGUUGGUCUCUUUGGCUAAAACUAGACGAACGCAUCUCAGGAGGGUCAGAAACAAAACCUAAGUUAAAAGGAUCAAAUUCAAUACGCAUUCUAUUGUCAGUCUCAUUGCAAGCUGCGCCAUAAUGUUCUUGCAGAUCAUUGGAGUCUGGCAUAACUAAAGCCGCAGAUGUCGUUGCUGAAUCAUCUUCAAUGGUCCAAUUAAUGUCAACUGAACCUGGAGUCAAAUCAUCCAACUGUCCGAUAAUGCCACGAGAAUCAUCACACAUUUCUUUUUCCAAGGCACUGCUAAACUGUGCAACCGGUGCAGUUUUCCAAUCAACAGGUGGCCACUUUAUUGCUUUCCUUUUGGAUUUUGAACAGCUUUCCUCAUUUAUUUCUGUCGAAGUUACACUACUUUGGAGUGACUUGUAAUUGUCUGUCAAUGAACGCAUUGAUGGCAGGGACCAAACAGAUUCUCCGCCAGAAAGUUUCGGCACCUUUUGGCUGUUCAAGAUAAAAAACUCUGUCUGCUCCUCAGUUGAACCUGAUUCAGCCAUGGUUGUGAUCAUAUGAAGGAAAUUUGCCAAGUGUAAUUCUGGAAUUCCGUCAAAAAACAAACGUGAUAGCUCCACAAAAAAUGCGUGUGAAUCUGGCUCUUGGGUCGUAUACAAUGUGCUACCCUGUAUUUAUAAGAUGAAAAGAAUUAUGGCUUUGAAAGAGAGUUUCCAUGUCCCCAUUAUGCAAGUAUCACAAGUGCUUGGUACAAAAUCUUCCGAAUUCAAAAAGCAUAACCAUCAACAUUGUAUUAGAAAAAGAUUUACAUAUUAUGUUACCAACAUGUUAUGAUUUCAAGGGCUAAUUUGUUAACAUUGUAAAUAUCAGUAUUUUGAAAGGCAGUCGAGAAUCUCCUGACCCGUGCCUCCAUUUAGAAGUUUCCUAGGAAUGCAAACGCCUGACUGUGGCCAAGUUUUGUUAAUUGUUUUGCCUUUCACCUAACAGUCUAAUUUUUUGUCCUAAAAAAGGGCGUGUAUAGCCACUUUGUCAGGUUUUAAGAAUGAAACUGAAUUCUGUACCCCCUUUUCUCUCCUUCCCAAAUAGAAUACCAGAACAAAUUCUGUACCCUCUUCUCGGUCUGAUCCAAUUCCCAACUCUCUCUUGACGCUGUCUUCAAUAGCUUCUCCUCCAACUCAAGGUCUCUUUUCCAUUCUCCACAACAUGGCGGCGAUAACCUAGAAAUUUUACCUCAAUGCUAAAUGAUUGCUAAUGUUUCUUAAGCUCCCAGACUUAGUAUUAGCUAUUCAUUCCAUCGUUUGUUUUAAGUUUUAGUUAGUAAACUUUUUAAAUUAAUUAGCUUAGGUCUAAAGGAUUACACCUCAGCACUUACGCUUACUGCUGGCCUUUCAAACCAUUGGUAAAUAUAGUGAUCCCAGCCAACUUCUGAGUCAGUUUGUAUUUUGGUAUAAGCAUAUAUGCAUUAGGAACACACACACACACACACACACUUGAUGAAAGACAAAAGAGAAUACCUGCAGCAGACAGCUACAUCUUAGCCUCUUCUUGGAUUUAAUUCCGAAACUCUUUAUAACGUUCUGAUAAAACAGCUUUUCAACAACUACUACUUGUAGACGAUUUACUAUAUCAAAUCCAAAGUGCUUGAGUUGUGUAUAUUUAUCAGGGUGUACACUUUGUAAGUAGCGUUGUGCAUAUGGAAGAGCCCAAUCCAGCAAUGCAGCUUUAAAGCUACAAUCUCCCAGACCAGAAAAUAUUGUGUGACGAGUUACAGCCUGCAUGCAAAUGCACAAAGUGGAAAGAUGACAAUUACAUUUCUAUCAAGUGUACACUGUUUCAUCUAUUUAUUUUCCGCAUUAAUUUUGCAAUAUAUGAAAUCCUAAAUCUUGUAACAACAUAUCUUUUUACAAUGCAGAUAAGCGGAGGGUUUCUUCAAACAACAAGGAGCUGGGUCAACUAUUCAAUCAAAUGAAAUGGAGCAUGUCUUCUCAUAUAACAAUAUAACAUAGUAACAAUGCAUGGGCAGAUGUAAAAAGUACAACGUUUAAAAUUCUUUUACUUUGAACUUCAAAGCAUUUUGCUAAUGAUUCAGAGACGCACAUAAAACCAAAGAUAUCUCACCUCUGAAAGUGCAGGAAUCCCUAAAGCUUUCAAGAGAAUGGAAACUUUCUUAAAUAGCAUCUCUACAUCAUCGUGACUUAAUUCACCGAAGUAUAAAAAAUGAACGCCAUCCAAAUGCAUAAACUGCUGUCUUAACAUCAAAUCAUCACACCAGCAGACAAAUCCAAAGGAAGGAUGUAGAGAAACCCACUUAUCUUGCACAGUAGGAAGCACCGUGCAUUCAAUCUUCGUAAGAGACCCUUUCAGAUAAAGAAUAUCUUCAGCACUUGAUCCUGACUUCAACCCAUCAGUCCAUUUGAGGAGAACUCGAAAAACCUGCAACAAGGAACUCUUACAUCACCGUGCAGCUUGCACUAGUUAUAAUAUUUCUACAAACUCGAUUACUUACAGCAUUAGCUGCUUGUGAAGGCAAAGCAACAUUUGUUAAAUCUAACAAAAUCUGAAGGUAGCUCCGAAAAGGUGGGGUCUCAUGUACUCCAAAGUGACCAACAAAGAAGUCAUGAAGGCCUGGGUAGAUAUUACGAAGCAUCUUAUUUAAGGGGAUGUGAUUGACAGCUGUUGAGCUGCACUCAGGACGGACCGCCUUGAUAAAGUUAGAGGAAUCAUCCCAAUAUACUUCUUCAGGGGACAAAAAUACACCAGACACCACAUCCUCGUGACUGAAGCCAGAUUGAUAUGGAACAAAUAUGGAAGGUCCAGAAUGGAACUCGUCCAUAAUUAUCUGCUUUGAAGGAGCCAUUUCAUUCCAAACUAAUGAGUAAAAUUUGAACAUUUGUGCUAGGCUGAGACAGAAGACAAGUAAGUGUGGUUCAAUAUGGGCACAAGCAAGGAAAUUAACAAAUAAAAGAGGAAAGGAAUGCGAACAUACAUGAAUCUCACAUGUCAAGCAUAAAAAAAAAACAAAAAAAUUGAGAAACUUUUUAUGUGGAAUUUUCUAAGCACACUUUGGAAACUGUACAGAAUAGCACAAAGUCUCACAUGUCUACUACAAUCAAUAGAGGUCAAGACUAAGCUCGGAGCAGAGUGCACUAGUUCUGAUUUUAUUUAAUAAGAAAAAGAUAUCUUAUCCCUUCUGAAAAAGCUUUAGAAAACUACAUCGAGAGAAUACGAUGACUUGGUAGAGAUAAACAUAAGGUAAAAAUGUAACACCCCCAAUUGAGAUUUGGAAAAAAUACCCCUUUUGGGAGGCCCAAAAAGUCUUUUGCCCCCUUUUUAAAUUUUAUAGACUUUUUCAGGUGCGAAAAGUCUUAAGUGCCCUUGUACCUAGGUUUAAUUGUUUUCAGUCUCCCUUAAAUUGCUUUGAAACCUAAGUGUUCUGAACAAGACAAAGUCUGUAAACUGUCCUACUUCCUCUUGAAUUUCUCACUGAUCAACUACCCGAGAACGAUUGUGCUUUUAUCUCUCACGUAAAACCAAAGAAAAGGCAAACUUACGGCGUUGCGCCUCUUUCCAGGUUCACCAACGAGUAGUCACCUCGACGAGAACCCACUACCUUCCUCCUUCUCCCUCGAGGGGACGUUGAGAAAUGUUUGCGAGAUCUCUUGAGGUGAUGUUGAGAAUAACUUGAGGGUUUUUCGAGGAGAUGUUGAGAAAACCUCGAGGGUCUCUAGAGGAGAAUGUCGAGAAAAGCUUGAGCUGUCUCAAGAAAAAAAAUACAGGGCCGCCGUCUUGCUUAGUGGGGGCGUCGAUUCAAGUGUUGCUUUCUACCUCCUCCACGCCGCCAGUCACUCCUUCACUACCUUGUACAUCAAAAUUUGAUUCUAAUUUUCUUCUUAAUCUCAAACCAAUAGAUCUGAAACUUAUCCCUAUCUAUGUUGUCCAAUUGUUCAAUAUGUAUAUAUAUCCUUUGUUGCUUUGGUAUGGAUCUUUUUCUUGCGUUAAUUUCACUUUCAUUCAUAAGGAUUCGACGUAAUUGUGGAGUGCCGGCUGUCGACUACCUGACGCCCUCCCCCUCCUCCUUUACCCGGGCUUGGGACCGGCAAUGUUAAUUUCACUUUCAUUGACGGAUGAAAAUCAAAAGCGCAGCAAACUCCAAAUUUUUUAUAAGCAUAGAUUAUAGUGUGAUGGUAAAACUCCAGGACAAAGUCAGACUACCAAAAAGGCACAACAAUAAUAUGAACUUUGUGAUGGAAACUCGAAACUUUUAUGCAGGUCAGUCGUAGAAACAAAGAUAGAUAAGAACAAUGAGAAGCAGAGGCGUUUUGUUUGUCUCGUUCCAGGUAGAAAGGGAAAUAGGUGUGACGCCUAGGUAUAAGUGUUGUGUCACGGGCUCCAUAAGUGUCCACUACUAAGGCUGCCAUGCACCAAUAUUGUCCCACUUAACCACCUAAGCCCAAUAUCCUGGGUGGUAUCAAGCCCAAUGGACCUUUGGUGUGAGGUUUUAUCUCAAAAGACCUCAGGGCAAUUAGAAGUGGAACACCUAUAUUUAAACCUCAGAUUAAUGUUGUACUUCUCCGAUGUGGGAUUCCCUUCACAUCCAUCUUUAGCUUGUAUCGGGCCAACUUUUUACACCAAUAAUAAGGGCACUAAAGUUUUUGUGCAUGCAAAAAAGGGCAGAAAUCUAUAGAUUUUAAAAACAGGAGCAAAAGACUUUUUAAGCCUCCCUAAAGGGGCAUUUUUCCAAUUUUCUCAAUACCUUUGUGACCGGAAGGUCACUGGUUUGAGUUGUGGAAAUAGCCUCUUUGCAAAGAAAAAGUAAGGCUGUGUACAAUAGACAUUCCCCCCAACCCUCGCAAGGCGGGGAGCCUUUUGGGCUCGGGGUCGCACUUUCUUUGUAUUCCCAUGUUUUUCACUUUUCAUCCAUAAUGAGGCUCAUGGAAAAGGGGUAGAGGAAAACCUAAGAAGACAUUUAAAGAGGCUAUAAGAAAAGAUAUGGAAUACUUGGAUCUAACAUAAGACUUGGCGCAAAACCGAGCACAAUGGUGUUCUAGGAUUUAUAUAGUUGACCCCACUUAGUGGGAAAAGGCUUGGUUAUUGGUGUUGUAUCCAUAAUGAGGAAUAAUGGUUUAAACUACCAUUUAACUCCAUUGGAUAAAAUUGCUUUUUAUGACGAAAUAAAACAUAGCUAAAGUGAUACUUGAGAACUCAUAAAUAAAUCCCUUUGAAAAUGAGUAGGGACUUUGCCAAGACACAAAAACUAAGAAUCACACAAUCAUUUUCUUUAUUAGCCCCACCAGCAUGGUCUUCAGAGGAAUUCUAAUCCGACAUUAACCCAGACCCAGUAACCUGUGGCUGACAUCGGUGAUCUUUGCUAAAGUUUAAGUUUAACAAAACAUAGUGUAUGCUUACGUAUUUUAUUUUGAUCCAGUUUCACUGAUGAUAAUGGUUAACCCCGAAAAGGUAGAUUACGAUAUAAAAUACCAACGACUGCACUUCCAGAUAAACGAGGGAGAAAAAAAGUAAUCAAAGCAUACCUGGCCCUGAAUGGUUUCUCACACCUCCAGAGUUUCAAAAUCUCAAGAACAUCGCCAAGAGAGAUUCUUGUCUUAAACCCAAUAUCACUUGCAAACUUUCCACUUCUCACCUGUUUCAAAGAGAAAAAGGUAGCACAAUCAACAAUACAGGAAUUUUUAAACGACUUUAGAGAUUUCAACAUAGCUGAAACUGUGAUUGAUAACAGAAAGAUGAAUAAUGGACAACAAAAACUCUGUAUAGUUUAAAGCUUGUUACUGGUUAUUUGGUUUGAAGCUUGUUGUAUGAUACAUCUUGCAUUAUAAUAGAAAAUACUGCAGUAGAUGUCACACAACUUACAAACAAACAAAAAAUAUUUUUGUAUUAAUGAGUUAAUUACAUAUAUGUUUUCUCUCUCUCUCUCUCUCAAAGAAAAGAAACUUUCAAAAUUUUUUGUUUUUUGUAUCUUCUCACACUUACGAGGAAAAGUACAUGACCUAAUGUUGAGAAUAUAAUUCCCACAUCAGGAAAUUCCAUUUUCUAAGCGUUGCAAUGCAACUUAUGAAACCCUGGGUUCUCCACAAAUUACCAAUUAGUCAACAUCACAACUGUAACAUAGUCUCUUGAGAUCAUAUUUCUAUGACUACAAACAUCCCAAUGUAUGCUGCUUUCAUGUCUAGAGCUCACUAGCAAUGGGGAAAAACCCACACGUGUGGGGAAGUGUUAGAAUAUCAAAACAGAUGUUCGCUCACGUCCUGACAUCAUACACUUCUCAGAACAGUUGUAAAGUUAACAAUCAAAAUUAUUGCUGACCUUGCAUCGUAGCAAACAAUUUAUCUACGUCUGAGACUCAUCUUUACCAGAGGUGUUUUGUGUCACCCAACAUAAUUAAUGUAUAUGUUUUUCCCAAUCUGACCACAAGGGAGGAAUGCCCAAUCAAAUAAGAGAAUAUAACUAAUAAGGGCUUAAGAAACUUUUGGAUUACCCAUAAACAUUUGUCAAUUUUUUUUAACAAUUAAGGACAUAGUUUAAACUUUCUCUAACAAUUAAGAACAUGGUCGACGUAGAUAAGUUUGCAACUCACGUACCAACAAUUGGGAUUUUUUUUACAGGUUUUGUCCUCGGUUGUAAAAACAAAUUUACUACAAGUUAUUAGGAAAGUUAAAAAUUUGGCAGGGGCCUAAAUGUCAAACUCCAUUCAAAUAUUCCAAGUCUUGCAUGUCAGUGUAUGAAAUCAUCGGCUUUUCCAACAAUUGAUCCACGGUUGGAUGCUCCAAAUUUAACAUCUUAGAACUGGAACAUCUUUUUUCCUAAAUUUCUCAAGCUAGUAAUCGAUUACAUGGGUCAACUUAACAUGAAAAACCAUAGGAGAAAAAUAAUACGGUGAAAUCCCUUUAAAGUCAUAAAGUUGGGACCAAACUAAUUUUAUAUCUUUAGAGAGGUUAUUACUUAGUAGAGGUAUAGUUAAAAAAAUAUUAUUUAGUGUCUUAUUUAUCCUUCAUGAAUGUUGUAUUCCCUAAAUAAGAUUCUUGAUGAUGAUAGUAUGGAAAUACCAAAAGUUUCAUGCCAAGAAGCUAUAAACAUGCUCGAAAAGUUAAGAGACAUUUUUGCUUCAACAAGAAAGUGUCCAUGUUGACGAAGUAUUACAUACGUGCAAGCUCAAAAACGUGGCAUCAAAUCUAAAAACUAAAGCAUUGUCUCAAACAACUUUAGAGAAAUAUUUAGUUCGUCUUAAACUUUUAUUUGUGAUAUUGCAAAUUUUUGUGCUCAUUGACAAUUAUUACCAUGUGGAUGUGUGUUUCCUUAACAUGGGAGUCGGUUAGAGACGUUUUGUAUAGAUUUCAUAUAGGGGAGAAAAGGAUGCAAUGAGGACUUAUAUUUAGACAUUUUCAUAAUGACAACAACAACAACAACAACAACAAAGCCUUUUCCCACUAAGUGGGGUCGGCUAUAUGAAUCCUAGAACGCCAUUGCGCUCGGUUUUGUGUCAUGUCCUCCGUUAGAUCCAAGUACUCAAGUCUUUUCUUAGGGUCUCUUCCAAAGUUUUCCUAGGUCUUCCUCUACCCCUUCGGCCCUGAACCUCUGUCCCGUAGUCACAUUUUCGAACCGGAGCGUCAGUAGGCCUUCUUUGCACAUGUCCAAACCACCGGAACCGAUUUUCUCUCAUAUUUCCUUCAAUUUUGGCUACUCCUACUUUACCUCGGAUAUCCUCAUUCCCAAUCUUAUCCUUUCUCGUGUGCCCAUACAUCCCACGAAGCAUCCUCAUCUCCGCUACACCCCCCACUUUGUGUACGUGUUGAUGCUUCACCGCCCAACAUUCUGUGCCAUACAACAUCGCUGGCCUUAUUGCCGUCCUAUAAAAUAAAAUUUUCCCUUGAGCUUCAGUGGCCUACGACGGUCACACAACACGCCGGAUGCACUCUUACACUUCAUCCAUCCAGCUUGUAUUCUAUGGUUGAGAUCUCCAUCUAAUUCUCCGUUCUCUUGCAAGAUAGAUCCUAGGUAGCGAAAACGGUCACUUUUUGUGAUCUUCGCUAGAUUGCUCCGGUCAUUAGUGAGGAUAAGUAUAUAAAUGGAUAGAGAUAGGAAAGCAAACACAAGAUGUACGUGGUUCACCCAGAUUGGCUACGUCCACGGAAUAGAGGAGUUCUCAUUAAUUGUGAAGGGUUUACACAAGUACAUAGGUUCAAGCUCUCCUUUAGUGAGUACAAGUGAAUGAUUUAGUACAAAUGACAUUAGGAAAUAUUGUGGGAGAAUGAUCUCGUAACCACGAAACUUCUAAGUACCGGAGUGUGGUAUCGUCUUGACUUUCCCUUAUCUGUCUCAUAGGUAGAUGUGGCAUCUUCUCUGGAAGUACUCUUCCUCCAUCCAGGGGUGGUAUCUGUAACUGGUGGAGAUGCACAAGGUAAUGUAUCAAUGUUCACUUGAAGCUUACUUGUAGUUUCAGGCUUGGUCAAGCGCGAUACAAACCAUGUAGUAGGAGUCCCCCAAGUCGCCGAGCUAGGGGAUCUGCUGAAAGAGGUGACAGACAAGGUAAGCAAUCAGAGCUCCGGCUGAUUGUUCACAUUCUCCCUAUCUUGCAGGCAGCAUGAAGGAUAAAGAGAAGAAAAAUGAGAAGAGAUGAUAUGGGAUACUUUUGCUUUUGAAGAAGUAACUUUCCACAGGCUUAUUCUUGAACUGGGCUGGAGGGUUUUCUGGUUUCCUCCAGAGUAUAAGGCCGACUGAAGAAUUUGAGGGUCAAAACAAGUCCAUCAAAUCUAGAGUACGUUCGACCCUGCUGAUAUGGGAUACUUUUGCUUUUGACAGAGUAGUGGAUGUAUCGGCACGUGUGCUGUUACGCUUGUCUCCACAUGCUUCCUUGUAUCCUUCUCACUUGCCCUAUCUGUUCCUCAGGCAGAUGCGGUAUCUUCCCUGGAAGCAUAAGAUGUUGAAGAUGAGUACUCGAGAGCAAUGCCAGGUAAGUAAUCAGGUAAGGGGUUCCAGGCAGUCAGUUCCUGGCUGGAAGCUUGAUUCCAAGUGCUGACUGAUUGCUCUCUUUCUCCUUGUCUUGCAGGUAAGAACAAGGCCAAAGGAAAAGACAGGGAAAAAGCAUGAUAUGGGAUACUCUUGCUUUUAACCCUGAUGAUAUGAGAUAUUCUUGCUCUAGUAUAGCUUGUUUACAGAGGUAUUAUCGGGGGAAAGAAAGCUGAAUAUUUCGAAAGGCUUCGUUGGGAGUGCCCUCUCAGAUAAGAGGAAAGGGUUGAGCAUUUUUGCAGGUCUGCCUGUCUGUUGGGGAUGGAGGUCGACAUAUAUAGGAGUCUCCCUAACAUCAAGUAAUAAUGCUAUUCCUUUACCCUGCUUGGUCAUAGCACGGUAGUGGGAGCUGCCAGCUUCACAUGUUUUAACUCUGUCAGAGCACUUUGAAAAAGUGGUCUGUGGUAUCUGGAAAGCUGAUGUUGCGUGUGAAGAUUACAGACAAGCUUUAUCCAAGGAGAUCCAGCUCUUGAAGUUGGGAAAGUGGUGCCUCUUCGGUUUUCGAACAAGCAAUCCUGUCGAGGGAUCUGGCUCUCGAGAUUCGGAGAACGAUGCCUCUUCGAUUUUUGAGAAAGCAAUCCUGCUGGGGGUCUGGCUCUCGAGAUUCGGAGAGCGGUGUCUCUUCGAUUUUUGAGAAAGUAAUCAUGUUGGGAGUUUGGCUCUCGAGAUUCGGAGGGCGAUGCCUCUUCGAUUUUGGAGCAAGCAAUCUUGUUGGGAGUGUUUUCUCGAAUGUGAGUAAAGGUUGGGCAUGUUUGCUAGUCUACCUUGCCACGAAGCACAGAGGUUGACACACAGGGACUUUCCAAUUAUCCAGCAGUGGUACUGUUCCUUUACCCUCUUCGAUUUUUUAGAAAGUAAUCAUGUUGGGAGUUUGGCUCUCGAGAUUCGGAGGGCGGUGCCUCUUCGAUUUUGGAGCAAGCAAUCUUGUUGGGAGUGUUUUCUCGAAUGUGAGUAAAGGUUGGGCAUGUUUGCUAGUCUACCUUGCCACGAAGCACAGAGGUUGACACACCGGGACUUUCCAAUUAUCCAGCAGUGGUACUGUUCCUUUACCCUUGUGGGUAAUAAUAUGGUAGCUAGACCUUCAAAAUUUAUGUGUCUAAACUUUGUUAGUGUUGUUUCUUUGCUAUUCUUUUACCCUUCUUGGUCAGAGCGAUGUAGUGGGAGCUGCAAGCUUCACGUGUCUCAACUUUGUCAGAGAACUUUGGCAAAGUUAUAUGUGGUACCCAUGAGCUACUGUUGCUUGUGGGAAGUGGGUGAUUGAACAGUACGAUUCAUGUGCUUUCUACUUCGCCAGAAAUCUUCAACAGAAUGCCCAUAAUUUCCGCAAAGCUGAGUGCGUGUGACAGGUGCUGACAAGGCUGGAAAAGUCGGUGCCUCUUCGAUUUCUGAGAUCAGCCCUCGUGGUCUCUGAGCAGCCCAGCUUUUGAGAAAGCAAGCCUCUUCGAUUUCUGAGAUCGACCUUCGUGGUCUUUGAGCAGCCCAGCUUUUGAGAAAGCAAACGCCUCUUCGAUUUCUGAGAUCGACCCUCGUGGUCUCUGAGCAGCCCAGCUUUUGAGAAAGCAAACGCCUCUUCGAUUUCUGAGCAGGCGCCUCUUCGAUUUCUGAAGCUUCGUCGAGUGCAGAUUUUUAUAGGGGCUGACAUUAAGUUCCAAAGCACACUUGAAUAUCCACCAGUAGAAGCUCCAUUCUUGCACUUCUAAGAUCUUGAUUUGUCCGACCUCUUCUCUCUUCAACACCUUUGAAAAUGUCUGGCCCUCCGACCGUCGUUUUGACUUGAACCUUGUUGAAGAGGCAGCCCCGCCUUCUCCAGACAACAUAUGGCGCCCAUCCUUCGUCUCCCCUACUGGUCCUCUUACCGUUGGGGAUUCCGUGAUGAAGAAUGAUAUGACCGCUGCGGUAGUGGCCAGGAACCUUCUCACUCCCAAAGAUAACAGACUACUUUCCAAACGGUCUGAUGAGUUGGCUGUUAAGGAUUCUCUGGCUCUUAGUGUUCAGUGUGCAGGUUCUGUGUCUAAUAUGGCCCAACGCCUAUUUGCUCGAACCCGCCAAGUUGAAUCAUUGGCGGCUGAAGUGAUGAGUCUCAAACAGGAGAUUAGAGGGCUCAAGCAUGAGAAUAAACAGUUGCACCGGCUCGCACAUGACUAUGCUACAAACAUGAAGAGGAAGCUUGACCAGAUGAAGGAAUCUGAUGGUCAGGUUUUACUUGAUCAUCAGAGAUUUGUGGGUUUGUUCCAAAGGCAUUUAUUGCCUUCGUCUUCUGGGGCUGUACCGCGUAAUGAAGCUCCAAAUGAUCAACCUCUGAUGCCUCCUCCUUCUAGGGUUCUGUCCAGUACUGAGGCUCCGAAUGAUCCCCCUCCGGUGCCUUCUCUUUCUGAGACUUCUCCUAAGCAACCUUUGUGAAGGCUCCCUCUUGUUUGUUUAUUUUGACUCAAGUAUAUGUACAUAUUUGUAACUUAUCGGGGAUAUCAAUAAAUAAGCUUUCCUUCAUUUCAACGUAUUGUGUUAAAUACACCAAAGCCUUCUUCGCUAAGUUCUUUGAAUUUUCUUUUGUUGAAGCUUGUAUGUUGAAGCUUUGUGAGUGGAGCAUGUAGGUUGAGGUAGUGUUCCCUUAAUUUCCCGAGUGAGGAAAACUUCUCGGUUGGAGACUUGGAAAAUCCAAGUCACUGAGUGGGAUCGGCUAUAUGAAUCUUAGAACGCCAUUGUGUUCUGUCCUGUGUCAUGUCCUCCGUUAGAUCCAAGUACUCUAAGUUUUUUCUUAGGGUCUCUUCCAAAGUUUUCCUAGGUCUUCCUCUACCCCUUCGGCCCUAAAGGUGGUGGGAGCUGGAAUCAUCAGGGGAUUAAUCGUACAAAUAUUUUUAGGGUUUAGAUAGUAGAUUGGGAGACCAAAUCCUCCGAUUAUAUAUCAUCAGCUAUAGGAUGACGUUACUAUCAUAAUUUUCAGUGUGGCUGUUGUUACUUUAAGAUCUCUAUUAAUUACUGUUUUUGUUUCUGGCUUCUGGACUUCUGGUUCACUGAUAGUAAAUUUUUGUUUUAAUAAAUUGUUUCUUUUCCAGGAAAAAUAAAGGAAAGGCAAGUUUGAGUGUACCAUGUUUAACUAACCUUUGGAACAGAAUAUGGAGCAGAUGCACCCAGAAUCGAGCACACUGCAUGACAGCCGUGAUACAAAGUUUUUGGAUAGUGAAGUUCAUCAUCCAUUGUUGAUACUACCCAUUGCACAUCACAGAUACUGCUUAUAAAUGAAGAUCUGAAGGGCCAUCUAUCAGCUACAGAUUUAGAAAUGCAGUAACCUAUUGUUUUAUCACUGUAGCAAUCAUCCCAUAAUGUAUCGAGAACCUCUAAGAGAUACUCACAACCUUUUUUGUCGUCAUCUCUGGAUAAUUGGGUCAAUAACUGGACUAAUUCAGGUGACUCCCAAUCAGUGGCAUUCAAUCCAAGGGAAAUGAUGUCCUUAUUGAACAUCAACUCAUUCAAUAAAGCAUCGGAUAAACUACUGAUUCCUUUCUCAACUUGAACUACUUUCACAAAAUCUGUAACACCAAUUUUCUGGAAAAAAUCCCUCCAUUUCAUCAGUCCACUUGGGAGUGAUCUGGUGGCAGGAUGCUUCAGAUAGGAGAUGUCAACCUCAUGCCAAACCAGAUCCACUCCAUCAAUCAAUUUAUUUAUGUCAAAUGGGUUUCCAAAUGCUUUACUGAAAUGAAUUGAUGCUUCAGCUGGUCGUUUAAAGCCGCCAUUUGUUAAUAUAUAUGCUUUGUUUCCUAGUUCUGAGAUUAUGUAUUCCCUUUCAGAACGACAAUCAUAGCAGUCCGACUGUAGGUGAACCAUUACAAAGCAAAUAUAAUCAGUCAUCAAAUUCUUAUCACUGUCCGUAAACCUGUCAUCAGAUAUAUCCGGCAAGAUGUGCUCCUUGAUAAUUUCAUGUGCGGAUAACUGUUGGACACCAAUCCUACGAAGCAUACUUGUAACUUUGUCAGAUGUCGUCACAUCCAUGGAUGGCACAUCAGCACAUGAUGCAAUGAGAAAGCCAGGAUUUACAAUCCGAAGUUUAGCAUACAAAUCAGGAAAAGACUCGAGUCCAUGCUGACCCUCAAACUCAGUCUUUAAGGCAUCAAAAUGUAACCAAAUUGGGCCUUCAUCCACUGCACCGUAUGUACCAUCUGAAAGAGGAAUGAAAGGAAUUUUUCGAAGGGUAUGUAUGAAUUCCAUUUCUAUUCCCGAUUCAAAUGAAGCUUCGACAGAAGAACUGAAUGACAUUGCAUAAAGUGCACUUAGCCAGGUGGCCAGCCAACUCAGUCCCAUUGAUUUGAGGCCAUUUUGUUUAUGACAUAAAGAGUCCAUAAGUUGAAGCAGAACUUUGGGUCCAUACUCACUAAUACCUAGAACUCUUGCGAGCGGAUCCGGCAGAAGUAUAUUUUUAUCCAAGAACCCAAGGCCAAGAUGCUCACGCAGUAAGGCAUCAGGGAGAAGCAAACGAGCCUGUUUAUUCCAACCUCUUAGGACUCUGCAAGGAGGAACCCAUUCAUUAUUUCCCCCUUCCAUGAGUAAGCAAUUCGAUGCUCGUAAUUUUGCAGUAAUCAAUCGCGGAAGAGGAGAAAAGAAACCAUGCACUUCACCCACAAGCGGAACAAAGGACAUAUAGACUGUCACAGCUCUCCCGGGAUUCUCUUUAAAACAUGGAAGAGAACAAAAUGAUUUCUCUGCAUUGACAAACAAAUCAGGAAAUUCAGACAACAGCCACUGGUUCCAGGGACUAUCUCCAUCUACUUCCUCUCUAGAUGAAGGAAGAACAAAAUCACCCUGAAGAAUAAAUUUCAGUCCAUAUGUUCUGAGAGGUAGAUAUGAAAAAACAGGCUGUUGGAUUAGAUCGGAACUGUAAUCACCAUUAUCUGAUUCCUUCAAAGUAAAUGCAAUUGAGAUUUCUGUUGUCUGUACAUCAGUACGAAUGAAAUCUGCUUGCAAUUUCUGAGAAACUACAAACCAUGUCAUGUUCUCUUUUCCACAUGAAAUCUUAACGAUACCAUCUCCCACAAUAUAUUUUCUCAUGACUGUAAGGGUAUUAUCGAGCAAGUUUCUAAACUUUAUACACUGGAGGCGGUGGAGAAAGAGCAGUAGAGAUGGAUGAAGAUCUGAAAACAUAUUAAUUAUGUUUAUCAUGACAGUUCCAUCUGAUACUUUUGAUCUGAAAGGAAGAACAAUGCAAGUGUUCCAGCUGUUACAAUCCCGUUUAUCAUUGUCAAUAGAUGUCAGGCUGCUAAACAAGUCAAUAUUGCGAGGAGGUACAACUGUGGGCAAAAUUAAACCAAUCUGACCCUCACUUAUAUCAAACUUUAUAUGAAAACCAUUGGAAUGUAUUUCUGGAGCAUCUGUAACCUGCACAAAGACAACAGCAUAAUAAUGAAACCUCAAUACAAGGUAUUCAGAUUGUAAAUUCCUUAUCCAGUCAUAGUAAAUAUUUCUUCUUUUCUAAUAAAAGUUCUGUUUCUUUUCAAAGAAAACAAAAUAAAAUUAAAGAUAUGCUGAAAAGCAUAGUAGGUAUGCUGAAGGCUGUAACCGUGUUGAAGUGCUUUUUUGGCCUCUUUUUUGGGUGGUAUAAAAAUAAUAGAAGAAACUAUGUAAUAUGGAGCAGGAGUUGACUUCCCGAGCAAACUGGAUUCAAAUCCUUGUUUCUUGGAUGCAGUACUCAUGUUAUAUGGCCAAAACAAAGUUCGAUGAGGAAUUAUUUUGCGGUAAGUAUUUUAGGAAGGAAGAAAAGUAUCACUUGGUGAAAUGGUAUUGGGAACUUGCCAAGGACAAAUGAAGCUCACUCACAUUAGGAUUUUGGAGGUUCGAACAAGAGAGUGAGGGUCUUCUGGGUUGCUGUUAUUAGAAGUAAGUAUAAGUUGCAUGAGGAUGGGCGGGACAAAUUGUCCUACAUUUUAAUGCUUAGCAAUGCUUUACAAUCAUAGUUGAGUAGUCGAGCUAGACCAGUGGACAACUUGCUUCCUGUCUUGAAUUGUUCUUUUCUAGUGAAGGCUAUUCUGACCUAUUAACAAUUAUAAAGGCUGUUGAUGCCUAGAGCAACGAUCCAUGAUCUGGCUCUAAACUUUAUUCAACUUAAUUACUUGCAAACUUUCAGUGAAAAAAAUACAAGCCCGAGCAUCUCAACAACUACAAAAUCAACGUGAUUGCGACAGAGCGGGUACAUGAGAACAAAACAAACAGAAACAAUUGAUUGAAAGCAUCCAAAGUUUUUAUGUAUAAUGUUUUAGAGAGAGAGAGAGAGAGACUAAUGUAAUGUUCACAACCUACCCGAAAAACUGAUUUGAAACCAAUGCCCUUCUGCCCUAUGUAUCCAGCAUUAGAUCCUUUCUUGGUUGAAUUUCCAACAUCACAUAGUGCCCUAAUGUUCUGGGCAGAAAAGCCCCGUUCAUUAUUCAAAACAAGAAUACCUGAAUCUUGAAGAAUGAAUGUUAGAGUUGGUUCUACAUUUGAUGGGUAGGUAUUAUCAUCAGCGUUUUGAACCUGCAGCGAUAAAGAAUAAUUAGGUGCAACUCAAACACAAUAAGCAUAUCAGAGGAUUGUUUUCAACUCCAGACUCUUACUAUAGCAUCAAACAUAUAAAGAUGGUAGAAGAUUCAAAUUGUAAUUUUAUAGUAUCCACAAAAUAUUACUGAUGAAAUAUGCUACAUACAAAAAGAUCAAAGAAUAAACAGAUAUACUAUAGAAACUCAGUAACAGUGGUCUUGCAGAUAUUGAUGUCUGUCCAUUAAAGGUAACACCACAUUAGUAAAAAGGAAAAUCAGGUAUGUCAAGCACGCUCAUUUCUAAUAUUCUACAGCAAGAAAUCCAUACGUUGAAGAUCUAUGCCACCUGCAGGGACAGACCACCGCCAGUAGGGAUGGGAAAUCUACCAUUUAACUGAAAAAAAUUCUUAAUGAUUAUAAAAUUUAGGCAGGUCCAGUUUAUUGGUAAAAAAUUCCUCAACCACAGUUUGAACAAACCUUACCGGUCAGAAUUUUUAGAAUUUAAACAUACCUAUUAACGCUGGUAUGAACCUAUUAGUUGUUGCAUGGGGAGAACUAUUAAGUACACUAAGCACACUGAAAGAAACCAAAAAAGGCAGCCUUACCAGCUCAAGAAGAAAAUGGGAAUCCUGAGAAUACAAUUCCUGCGAAAGGCAAUGCAGAGCUCGGCCUAACCGAGUGUGCUGCUUCUUUAGGAUGAUACUUUCAACAUUUGACAGGCUUGAAUCUAGACCAAAUUCAUCUCUCCUAAUUGACUCGAUUACCAGCACUCGAUCUUCCAGUUCAUUAAGUUCAGCAUAAUGCUCUGGGUAGCCACUGACAAUUGUAGCUUCGGAAGCUUCUGCACAACUAAUCUUUAGACAGGCUUCAGUACAUUCAUCUUUUUGCUUGUCUUCCAUAACAGAUGCACUCAUAGUCCCUUCAUAAGCGGCAAGCUUAUCUGACACAUCUUUCAUAUACUUUGAGUCUGACCCCGUUUUAUGCCUAACAGCGAAGCAUGACGACCCAGAAAUGAAUGAAUCAGCAGCAUCAUAGGAACAAAAUUUAUGGAAAUCAUCAAUCCAUUCUAUUAUACCAAGAGAUAAGCCAACUUCAUGAAGCAUGAGCCGCUGCUCUGUUUGCUUGCACUCACCCAAAAUGGCUGAAGCAGCAUGUUUGAAAACAGAUUGCAUCCCUGAAAGCAAUACAUCGGCAGCAAAACUACGAAACUCUGCAGGUAGAUAGCCAAGACAAUCAAUGACAAAUCUUGAUAAAACUGAUUCACCGAUAUUCAUCCGAGUUAGGUCCCUGUGUAACUCAUUACAUAAUUUACUUGUCGAACCUUCACAAACCAUUUGCUUUCCAGAAAAAUCUUUUUCUUGAUUAAGAAAAUUCUUACUGACUUUUACUUCCAGAAGAUGAUUCUUCAAAAUGACUUCAAAUGCAUGCUGCAGAUGAAAUUUCAAAAGGGACACUGGGACAUGUUUUUCUCCCCCAGAUAGUGAGAACAGAGAUAACAUUUUCACUGCUGUUUGGAAAGACGAUCCUUGAAGAGCAGCUUCCAAGAAUGAACCUACAGUAGAUGAAUGGUCUAACCGAAUCACUUUUCCAUCCUUUGUCACCAAACACAGCAGUUCAUCAGUGUUGACCUCAUUCAAUAACCAUAGUACAAGUGGACCAAGAGAGGGAGCAAACAAGAGGUCCCAAUGUGACCAUAAGUUUAAAUCCAACAUCAUUGGAGCUCUGAGUAGGACUUGAAUUGCAUCCUUGGAGGUUACAGAUUCAUGGGUUUUCGUUUUCUUAGAGUGCUUUGAUGAGUCUAUCGGGUAACUAGUUCCAUAUAAUGUCAUUGAAAAUAGAAUACGUUUGGAAAUUGCAGUGCUUUUAUGCUUCUCCACUAUACUCAGAAAAUCUUCUACAGAACUAUUUUCAAUGGUUUGGAAACUAAUCAAUGGAAACUGCUUCCUAAGCAGUAAUGGAAUAUUUAGUUUGCUAAUUUCUUCAUCUUCCCAUAAACUAUUUAUAGCUUGCGAAACUAACACAAUCAAAUAAUGCUGGAGCAUGCAAACCUCCAAAGGACACUUUUCACUUCCGUCACCAGUCAAGAACUUGCACAGCUCACGUGGAAGUAGACAGGCAUAUUUUUCUAAAAACAUUAGAAAUUCCCCAAAACCAAGGGACCUAAAUUCCUUUACACGAAAUUCUUCAACCAACCAAAUUUCACAAUUGCAAAGCUUUCUCAAGAAGAUAAAUAUCUUCUCCUGAAGUGGCUCACCGCUGAUGCACAUUCCAUGAUCAAAUUCAAAAUAUGUAGCAACUUUCCUGAUUAUGUCUUCAACUGACACACCUGUGGAGUAUAAUCACAAAAUACAAUAAGGCACACCAGUUCUGUAAAAGAAUGCACAUGUGGAAGGCCGAAAGGGUGCAAAACUGAAAUAAGGGAAAGGUAUGGUGAAAAGACAAUUUUUUACUUGAAACCAGAGACAAAAUUUUAUUGCACAAAACUAUGCCAGUACAAGGGCUGAUCCAAUAUCCACAAAAACAAAAACAGAAACAGGAUAAUAAACAAGAUCAGCCUGAAACUUAGAAUCUAAAAGAAAACUCCACAAAAUUAACAAACAGUAGCUUUCCAAUUAAGAAGCCAAAUCAAAAUCUAAGGUAACUGAUGCCCUUAAAAUAAUAUGAAAUAGUAUAAUUUUUAUACUACUACAUAUAUUAGACCAUUACACACGGCAAAUUUGGCUAUGAAGUCAGGACUUGGCUAGUCAGUGUAGUCACACAGACUAUUUUCACUCAGUGUAAUGGUUUUUUACUUUAUAUUUUAUGUACUCGGGUUCGAGACUUGGAAGCAGCCUCUCCAUAAAUGGGGGUAAGGCUAGCCGACAUUCACCUCUCCCAGACCCUGCGUAAAGCGGGAGCCUUGUGCACUGGGUACGACCUUUUUUUAUGUACGCUGACUCAUUAUCAACUUUGCUUGGUAGUUGACCGAUUGUAUAGGAAAUGUGGAGAAAACAGUGUAUAAUUAUUUUCUUUUAAUCAAACUAUCACAGAUAAUGUCACUCCUCAACCUUCAAACCUAAAGGAGGAUGAGGUUUCACCAUAAAUCUUAUUGGCAAUAUGGAGAGUAGCCCAAUCCUUAUAAGCACAUGCAAGGUCCCUUAAUUUCCCUAGCCCCUUCUCGUGUGGCGUCAUUUAGACACACAUGGACAACACAUAUUGAGUAACGUGGGUGGUCGUGGACCGUUGAGCUCAACACAUGGGUAAUCUGCCUUGAUACCAUAAAGGAUGUUAAGGGUUCCAUUAUAAAACCAGUUGGCAAUAUGCAGACUAUCCCAAUCCUUAUAAGCACAUGCAAGGUCCCAUAAUCAAAGGCUAAGAAGGGCAAACAUCAUACUUAGAUAACUAAUUCAUUUCCAAAAUGAGAUCAACGAGUCUCAUGUCUAGAGGAAUGAGAUUGACUGUCUCUAGUCAACUAGACUAGUACACUGGCGACAAUUCGCCGCUAUCUCACAAAUGAGCACUCAAAUGCAGAUUACGCAACGGUAGCUCCAGAGUUUAUGGUCUUAAUCACAAUAGUCUUGAAAAUAUGGCAAAAAUAAGUGUGUGAUGCACCAGUAUCUAUUACCCUAGCUUCCGGAUUAAACAAAAUAACCUUACCAUCUACCACAGCAUUGACUUUCUCUUCCAUCGCUUCUCCAGCAACGGCUACUUGACCACCUGCAGGUCCACAUGCUACAAAUUCGCAUCCACUGUUCUGUGGCAUUGGUGCUCUGUUCAUACUCUGUUGUGGCUGGGGAUGAACUGGAAAUUUCCCAACAUAUCUGUUUGACUGAGCUGGGUGCUGAACCAAUUCCAAGGGAUCCUUUGGGGCCAAAGAUGAUCCAGUCUGUUGGAAGCAGUUCUUGUGAACGUGUCCAACUUGACCACACAGAUAGCAGACUUUUUUUUCAAGAGGAGAUCCUCUGGAUGAGCCUUUGCCCGUGUUCUUUUUCUCACUCUUUUGGAUUAUCUUCUGCAUACACCGGACUGGCUUACCAAGAACUCUCUGACGACGUCCAUGAAUUCUCAGACGACGUUGAUGAUCCUGCACUAGGCAGCGUGAGGCUGCCACAACAUUGUCAUAAUCCAUGGUGAGCACUCUCUUACGACGUCCAUGAAUCCUCUGACGACGUUGAUGAUCCUGCUCCAGGCAGUGUGAGGCUGCCACAACAUUGUCAUAAUCCAUGGUGAGCACUCUCUGACGACAUCCAUGAAUUCUCUGACGACGUUGAUGAUCCUGCUCUAGGCACUGUGAGGCUGCCACAACAUUGUCAUAAUCAAUGGCUUAUGAGUACCGUGUAUUGUUGUAAUAAGCAUUUAAAUUCUUUCCAAAGAAUGUCUAAUCAGAAUGCAGAGUUGUCUUUAGUCAAUUGGCCUAGAAAUAAAUGAUUUGUUCCUGCUUCAAUAUUAAUGCUUCCUAUCCCUUUUUUUUUUUUUGUUAUUCACCGAAGGAUACAUAGCAGAAUACCUUUUUCUGCUGCACAGCAGUUAUUUUGACUUACUCAUGCAGCCAUGCUAGUAGUCCUAAUAUAAAAUCAAUGAAGAUUGAAAACAUUUGAAACAGAAAAAGAUUGCGUUAUUAAAAAAUAAAUGGAUGAUGUAACAAUGAACACAUCAUACCAUGUAUAAGAACAAAAUCAAAUUGCCCUUUCAUAACAGCCAUCAUUUUUACUCACUUUGCUACUCCCUCAUUCAAUACUUCAUUCUCUAAAUGUCCUUAACCUAUACUGUUUCUAAUUUAUUUUAUUCAAAUCUGAUAAAAGAAAAAAAUAAGCACGGAACCAAAAUUUCAAGAAAGAUACAAAACAAUAUAAUAACCAUUAUUAGUAAAAUAUCAGACUACAUAAAGCACAUUACUCACUCUGAGUAUGUUGGGUAACAUGUUCAGUAAUGACUGGCGGUGCAUCCUUAAUAAUUGGUUCAACAUCUGUGUUCAAAUAUUCAGAAUAUUUAUCAGUAGAAGUUCUACUUAAUUCGUGUUGGCCAAUGGAUUGGGAUGUAUCAUACAUGCUAUCCCACAUUCCACAUUUGAUAGAUGAGACCUGAAAAAUAAGUGCACACGCAACAUCAAUAAGAAAUAACUGGAGGAACUCAAACAAACAGCAGUAAUUAAUACCAAAGAAGCAAACUUACACAAACAAGUACUACAAAGCUGAAACGAUUGAUAGAGAUAACAUAGAAAAUUGGAAACUGUUAAGAAUGAUAAAUAAAAGCAUAAAUGUCCUCUAGAACCACAAAAAUGCAUUUUUAAAAAACUUUCUUUUACUACAUUUAUUCUUUCUCUUGUAAACAUAAGAUGAACUUCAACGGCAGUUCUGUAACGUAAUGAACUUUUCAAGGUAGCCUUCUAAAUAUGUUUUUGUAAUGAACUUUUCAAGGUAGCCUUCUAAAUAUGUUUUUUUGAGAAGAAACUAAAACAUUUUAUUAAAAAAGAAAAGUGGAAAUACACAGAAGUGGAUAAGAAAUCCACCAAGAAUAAGCCUUCUAAAUAUGUAGAAAAACUAAAAGGCAAGAUACAAAGUUAAGGAAAAGCCAAUGACUGAUGCAGUGCCUGAGCUAACAACUGUUGCCAGCACUAGCACCACACCUAUUUGUAAAUUAAAAUGCGAGAGAUGGGUAAUGUUCUAUUUCCAAAUACUCAGGUAUUAUAUUAAUUCCUUAAGCCCUCAAUAAAGAAUCACUUAUCACUGAAUAUUAAAUUAAAAUGCCAAGUAUCAAUUUAAUAUUGAGUUUAAUUUACAGAGCACCAGUAGUACUUAUGAGACUUAUGCAUAAACAAAGAAACAGGUAUAUCAGCUAGACUUCUAACAUCAACCACUGAAUAUUGCCAAAAAAAAAUACAUAAAUUUACAUGCACAAUAUGUUGGAGACUGAAUCAACCGAAUGACUUACAGCAACAUUCAAUAAUCCAAUCAAUGGGUCUGAAGCAAACAUUCUGCUGAUUUUUUUCGUCCUCUUAUCAUAACACUGAAGCAUGCUCCAAAGUACCUACAAGCAACAGAAGCCAGUUGCUGAGAACGCAUAUCUGUAGAACUUAAAUCAGAAGCAUUACUCAAAAACAAAACUAGAUCGAAAUCCCAAUAUUUCUUGGAUAAAGAUGCUCAAAGAGAGGUUAGACAUCUAAUCAUGCCCCAAAUAAAAAGUAUCCUCAUUUUGCAUCACAGAUUCUUUUUUUUCUUUUUUCGAAAAGAGAAUUUAAUUGUUAAAGGGCAAUAAAAUUACAUAGUACAGACAAAGUGGUCAAGAAAAAAACUCCUGAUAGGCUAAAAAGAAAAGAGAAACAAAAUCAGCUGAAACAAAAAGGCUUACCAAAAAGCAGAACUAACAAAUACCAGUUUGCCAAUUUAAAACAGAUAAUUGAAGCCCAUAGUGCAAACUAAAAACAAACUCUUUCCCAUAACUUUUCAACCCCUACACCAACACAAUCUUCAAAAACCAUUUUCUCUCUAUCAAAACCACCCAGAACACAGCCAAAGCUAUACAACCCCAUAUUAAUUUGGCCUUCUUAACCUUCCACACCGGUUGUGGCUCUUAUGGAGUAAGGAAAAGCAAUCCCGAGGGAUGAUCCCACUUUUUUCAUCUUCCUGAGAAACCACAAUAUCACAGGUAAUAAGGAAGAUACCAUCAACUGAUUCCAUGUUCUUCUUAUACAAUGUACCCCAAUGGGGGGACAGGCAAAACUUUGGUCUCCUUCUCUGACCACGCCACAAGUAUUUACCAUACCGUGAGUCACUAACCACUCUUUUCGCUCAAUUUGAAUUAUUCCCAACAAAUCCAAAUGCGGCAAAAAAUUCACAAUGCCAAGGACUAGUGCCAUAAUGCCCAACAGCCAGAAAAUAACAGUUUCUUGUCCAAACAAACCACACUACAAACAUAUAGAAACCUACUCCAAAUUGGUGGAAGGAAAGAGCAAUGCAAAGAAAUAAAAUCAGCUUCUAUGCACAUGCUACCAGCUCCUUUGCAACAAGACUCACCAACUCGGGGAUAAAGAUAGAUAUAUAUAUAUAUAUACACACACACAUUUAUAUAUAUGCUGUCCUUUUCCAGCUCGGUAAAGUGCAAAUAACUUACCAACUACACAUCGACAACCAUAGUGGCUGCACAUCGACAGCUGUGAGGCUGAAGUAUGGUCAGUCAUAGGCCCAUAAGUAUGAUCCCACAUGAUUUGUGAUGGAUAACAGUCCCCAUAAUCAUGGUCCAGUCAUAGGCAUGAUCUUCGAGGUAAGGGACCUCCAAAAAUAAAAUAGGACUCUUAAUGGCACCCCUCCUCAUGUCUCCCAAAGUCAAAUGGCUAAUUGACUUAAUGGGCGGGAUAAUGGACCUCAAAUCAGCCAAUCGCCAGAUUUCACUGGUCUUUCUUCGUUCCUGGAGUGCUACAAGUUUGAGGUGAGCAACGGGUAGAGGGUGAGGUUUUGGGAGGAUGGUUGGUUAGAGGGUGGACCGUUGAAAGAGCAGUAUCCUAGAUUAUUCUUGUUAUCGAGAUAGCACGACCAGAGCAUUUCAAGUUUUGUUGCUUUUUGUCUUCAGUCAUUGAGCUGGAAUUCUGAUUUCAGAAGAAAUUUGAAUGAGCUGGAGAUAGCAGAGGUGGCUAGGUCAUCACAGAAGGUGGAAAAAUGUUCGUUUGAUUCAAUCAAGAGCAGAUACUAGGUGGUGGAAACUAGACAGAUCAGGAUUGUUCACUUGCAAAUCCUAUAGCUCCUUCUUGUGCAACAACGGAACUGUGCAACAUUUUCCAACCUUUUCUCAGAUUUGGAAAUCAAAAGCUCCUCCGAAAGUCAAAAUUCUUGCGUGGAUAGUGGCUAUUGGGAAGGUCAACACCUGUGAUCAAGUUCAAAGGUGAAGGCCUUUUACUUGCAUUUGUCUUUAUUGGUGCAGUAGGAGGAGAGUGUUAAUCAUGUUUUUCUCCAUUGUUCUUACUCAAUACAAUUGUGUUGGAAAUUGUUCAAGGAAGUUAGAGCUAGUUGGGUUAUUCCAAAGGGUUGUUUCGAGCUUCCAAGCACCAACUUUGAGGCUUUAGGAAUGGGGAGGAAAGCUAAAACUUUGUGGGGCUGUUUGGUGUUGGCAGUUUUUGGAAACAUUUGGUUGGAGCGUAAUAGAAGAGUUUUUGAGGAUUAUAAGGGAGUGAGGGUAGAAGAACUACGGGGUAGAGUAAGAUACUGGGCAGCCCGCUGGGCAUCGGUUUUGAAUGAGUUCAGGGAUUAUUCUCUUUCUCAUAUAAAAAAUCUGAUGAAUUCCCUAUCAUUUGGACUUAAGUUCCUUCUAAGCCUCAAGUUCUAAGAAAUAUCCUGAGGUGAUGCUAGGCAAAGAUUACCGCACUAGACCAAUAAAAUGAGUCACCAUAUCAAAAACCUUCCCAAAAACAAAAUUUUACAUUCCAACACCAAAUUAAGACAAUAAAAAAAGAUAGUUCUAAAUUCAAUCAUAGGAACCCUCGACAACCCCCAUCCAUUGGAAUGCACCAUACUUACACCCGAUGAUAGAACACAACAUAGAGAAUACUAGAAGUAACUUGAAAGUUUAUCCCACAAGGGAUAGUUGAUAAGCCAGUGUAGCCCAACACUUUAUGACACAAUUUGGAAACUAAGGAUAAAAAUGUAAGUGAACUUAUUUCAAAUGUUUUUCUUUUUUCUUAAAAUGCCAUACAUAGAGGAUAUAAGGAUUUAUAGUUACAUUAACAUGGAAAACCCUCUAGCAUGUCAUUCCUUACAAUUAUUUUGAAUUGAGAAAAAAUUAGUAAAUCAAUGAAAUGUUCUAUCAACUAGAACUUCAUUUAAAGGUCUAAGAAAACAAUAUAUGUAAGGAACUAACAUGCAUCUGACCAAUAUACAGGACAUUGACAAGUGUUUGAUCUAGACAGCAAAAUGUAUCUUGAUACUAAGUUGUUCAUAUGACACAAUAACAGCAACAACAUACCUCAGUCACAGUCUGCUCCUUACAUGCAUCCUUCCAAGUUGUAAUAAACUUCCUCAAAAAAUCAUUGGAAACUGAAAGAUCAGUUUUAAUCAUACUACUGUCCUCCUCGGUUUCAUGGUCAUUCUUAGUAAAAAGAACAUCAUGUUCUACCUUGUCUCUCUUUCGUAAUUUUUGGGGGACAGAGAUGGGGCUGCUUAGAUUUUCGCACUUUCUUUUCUUUUUUACGGACCCAUUACCCUCAUUAUGCCUUUGGGUUCCACAAGCUGGAGAAGGGUGAUUUGUUCCGUGCAAAGGUCUCUCUUCUAUUGCAGAGACGUAAGUAGAGUUACUCACUUGGUCCGAAAUUUUAGCAGAUUGUAACGAAAAGUUAACCUCGGUGAAUGUAUGACCUUUAUCUUUGUCAUCUUCAUGUAAAAAAUCCUUACCACCUCCAUCCUUUGAACUUGAAGAAACAAAUCUAUCUUUCUUGCCACAAAAUUCCUUUUGUACAACAGAAAACAAUUCAGCAUGCUGAGAAAUGUCACAGAAAUGCUUGUCUAGCUGCUCAUUCAAUGAGGUAAGAAUUGGUGCCUUCUUCUUAUAGCGGCGCAUUCUAACUUGCUCUUGAGAUUUAAUUAGAGCGGCACGUUCUAACUUCCUGCCUUUCCGAAUAGAAGAAACGUGCACCCUAUGAUCAUGUAGUUUACUUCAAACAAGAGCAUUACAACAUAUAAUUUUCUAGUACUUUCAAAGGACUAAAAACUUAAGUUAUUCAAAACGCCUAUGCACGCCAAAUGUAAUUUUAACCACUCAAAGCAUCAAAGUGUAUCAAUCCAGUAGUCGCAACAUUUUCUAAAUAUGAGCAGAAGGGAGGGGUUGUAAAUCUUUUACCAUACAAAAUCAUUACAAUUAUUAGACACAAUGCCUAUCUAUCAUAAAAUAGAAGGAAAAAGAUGUGAGACGUACCCCAAGCUACAAAUUCGAAUUCCGAUAUUUUCCUUGCUUGCAACUGAUCGCCUCUUAACAAUAUAAUCCAAAAAUUCUUCAACAGAGACUUUACGUUUAUGUUCUUGAUAGAAGGUGAGUAAACAUAGUAUCUCCUCGCUAGUUAUCUUAAACACUUCAGUUGUAUCAGAACUCACUGGGAAAUAAUGCAAAACAAGGGGGUGACGGAACAAAGGGCCCAAUCCCAGCACUUCAAACUCCUCAAUAUCCUCAUUCUUGCAGAUUGCAAGUUCCAAAUCAUACAAAGAUGUAAUUCUUCGAGCCAGAACAAAGCAAUGGAUAAAUGAACUUAUCUACAUCACAAAAGAAAAUGAGUAAAAAUUAGAAAGAUUUAAUACAUAAGAAUACAAAUUUGUAUACAUAAUUUAUGAUAUGUUCCCAACGCAGAACAAAUCAUUUCCAAUUGCAAAUGAAAGGACAUUUAUCUUUUCCAUCAAUUACAUUCCUUUUCCCACACUUUCUAAGCAACCAAACCAAGUGUUUACACAAUAUAUAUAUAUACAGAGAGAGAGAGAGAGAGAGAGAGAGAGAGAGAGAGUGAGUGAGUGACUAUUACCCUGCCUUCGGUGAGCAUGAGGCGGUGAAGAGAAGGGACUUGAUGCAUUUGAAGCCCGAGAAGAAAGCUCCAGUCAUCAACCUUGAGCGUCACAAGCGCAGACUGUAACACCUUCCACGCCGAGACGCUCCUUCCUGCCGCCACAAAAUCACCGCGAGCCUUUUCGACUGCCCGAUCGAUCCUCUCCAGCAUCUCUUUCAGGUUCUCACAUGAAGUCUGAGGCCGAAACGCAGAAUUUGGGAGCUGUUGAGGAUCGACAUUGGGUUUCGGGUUCUCAGAAGAGGUCUGGGGCUGAAACGUUGGAUUUGGAAGCUGUAGGGGAUUAAAAAUAGGGUUUUGGAGCGGGAAGCUAGGGGUUUGGAUUGGGAAAUUAGGGUUUUGGAAUAUAAAAUUAGGGAAAUUGGGGUUGUGGGCAAGGUUGGGGGCAAAGGCGGGGUUUUGAGGAUAAAUAUAGGAUGAAUUGGUGGGGUUUUGGUUUUGGUUUUGGUUUUGGAGAGAGAAAUUGGAGUUUAGAGGUUGUGGGUAUGAUUGCUGAGGCGGCGGCGGUUGUCGCCAAUCCCGUUCUCUGGCGGAGGGCGGUCGGAAAAUAGAAGGGUGCCUGAACAUGGCGGAAAGAAACAGAGUGAAACUGGACAGCGGUGGACAUCCCUUUUAUUUAAAAAAUAAAUAAAUAAAAAAAUAAAAAUAAAUAAAAAGAGUCUCCAUGCGUUCCACGCGUGGCUCCCUCUCGUCUCUCCUGUCGCUGCACUAACGAGGUCGUCCAGGUGUCAUUAAUUUUGGUAAAGGAUCCUCGUCUGGGGAUCUAGAUAUUUCGUGAUUAUGAUAUAUAUCGUAUAGUAAAUUUUUGUUAAAUAUUAUUUACAUUUAAUUUUAAAAUAAUUUUUAACUGCACGAUGUAUAAUGAAUGAUCACGAUAACGGGAUCCAUAUAAUCCCUAGGAAAAUGAUCGGAUCCUUUUCCGAUUUAUUUUGUUGAUGCUCCAAACUUUUAGACUUUGGAAAUGCUGGGUGAAGACAAUAUUUGUUAUCAAAUCACAUGACGUGACAAUUAUUGGAUGAAUAUUUUUGAUAAUAUUUUUAAAAUAUAAGACCAUCUCCAAUCCUGUGCUAAAAGCCAAAUUACCCUCCAAAUUACCCCCAAAACACUCUCCAACCCAUGCUAAAAUUUUAGGCUAAAUGCCAAAUGCUAUUUCUGGGCCAAAUACCCCCCCCCUCCAGCUUUCCCCCGGGCUAAAUGCGAAAUGUUUAUCGAAAUUUAAAUUUUUUUAGAUUAAAAUGUUCAUAAAAUUAAUUUACAAUAAUCUACAUAUUUAUUUUUUUUUAAAUUGAUUUAAGAAAAAAAUUUAGGCUAAUUUCAUUCUUUAAUAAUUCCGGGCUAAAAUUUUAGGGUAGAAGGGUUGGAGCAGAAAAGAUGUUUCUGGGCUAAAAGCUAAAUUUUCUGGGCUAAAAAAUUUGGCUUUUAGCCCAAGGGUUGGAGAUGGUCUAAGGAAAUAAUUUGACCAUAUUUGUAUGUUAAAUUCUUUAAUUAUGAAUCACAUGAUAUGAUUUACAAAAUAUGGGUUAAAGAAAUGGUUUUUUUAGCAUCACGCAUUUCCUAAAACAAGGAAAAUUUAUUGGUCAGGAGCUAUUCAGCGUUAGAUGAAGGACCCGUUAACUCAUUGCACUAUCAACUUUGUGUUAUAAUUCUAACGCCAUUUGGAUCUUGCUCUUUGACUGUCUUUGGGUUUUUCACACAUUAUUCCAACCUUGCCGCACCCUAUUUAUAAGUAUAAGGUGCGGCUCAGAUGUCAUUUUUCCACAUUAUGUUUCGUAUUCUAAAUGGACAAAGUACACUUUCUUUCCAUUUCCAAAUUAUCUUAUAGGAUUCCUAAUCUAAUUGAACAAGGAAACUAAGAUUCUUUCCUAGUUCUUUUAAGAGAAGAAACGGUGCAUCCCUUACAUUACCUACACAAUCCUAAACAAAAUAAGACACUAACUUGACCAGCCAAAAUCCUAACAAUCUCCACCUUGGUGAGUCAAACCAAGUCUUGACUGUUGCAUCCCAGAGUAUCUUCGAACCUUCUUGAAGUAGCACUGCAAAUCUUCAAGAACCUUCACCUUGACAAUCUUCUUCUUGCCUUCUUCCACCUCAAGUGAGGAGGUGCUCUACCUUAAUCAAUCAAUGAGAUUGAUAAGUUCAAGCAAUGCUUGAACUUAUUGUCUGGCAUUAUCUUCAUAAGGAAGUGUGUGAUGAAAUCACGUGAUGUGACAGUUAAGUACUAAGAAAUGAUUGGACCAUAUUUGUAGAUAAAAUUCUUUAAUUAUUAAUUGCAUGAUAUGGUUUACAAAAUAUGGUUUAAGCAAAUGGUCUUUCUAGCAUCACGCGUCUCCUAAAACAAGAAAGAUUUAUUGACCAUAAGCUAGGCAGCGUUAGAUGAAGGACCCAUUAACUCAUUGCACUAUCAACUUUGUGUUAUGAUUCUGACCCCCUCUAGAUCUUGCUAUUUUGAUGUAUCUGGCCAUAGACAAAAACUUAGCAAAAUAGAGAAAAUCCGAAACACAAGAUUUAUACUGGUUCAUCAGAAUUUUUGCGUACGUCCAGUUGUGAUUUCUCUAGGUAGAGAAAUCACGGCUUCCUUGAUUAAUAAUAAAGUUAAUACUUUUGCAAAAACCCUUAGAACUAAUCGCCUUUACACUAUAUUGACUGUCUCUAGCUUUUUCACACAUUAUUCUAGCCUCGCACCCUAAUUUAAGUAUAAGGUGCGGCUUACAUGUCUUUUUUCCAGAUUAUGUUUCCUAUUCUAAAUAGACUAGGAAAGUACACUUUUUUUCGUUUUUCAAAUUAUCUUCUAGAAUUCUUAAUCUAAUUGAAUAAGGAAACUAAGAUUCUUUCCUAGUUCUUUUCGGAGAAGAAUCGGUGUACCUUUUAUUUUCCCUACACAAUCCUAAACAAGAUAGGACACUAGCUUUGAUGAGCCAAAAUCCUAACAAUCUGCACCUUGGUGAGUCACACCAAGUCUUGACUGUUGCAUCCCAGAGUAUCUUCAAACCUUCUUAAAGCAGCUCUGCAAAUCUUCAAGAACCUUCACCUUGACAAUCUCCUUCUUGCCUCAUUCCACCUCAAGUAAGGAGGUGUUCUACUUAAUACUGGUUUGAUACUGAGGUGCUUUUAUAAAAAGUGAGUAUAAAAAAAAAGCUGAGCUCAAAAAGGUGUUUGGUAAACACUUAAAACAGCUUAUUUUCACAGUUACAGGUGAAAAAAGCUAAAAAUGUGAAGCAGCAAAAAUGAGCUUAUUCUCAUAGCACAACAAAAACAGUUUUUUUUCAAAGCACAACAAUAUCAAACCAAACCUUAAUCAAUCAAUGAGAUUGAUAAGUUCAAGCAAUGCUUAAACUUAUUGGCUGACACUAUCUUCUUAAGGAAGUCUACGACAUUGUCGUCUGUGUGAACCUUUUCAACCAAAUCUCCUCAGAUUCCACCAAAUCUCUGAUUUUGUGAUACCUUGCUUCAAUGUGCUUUUAUCUUUCAUGAAAAACCUGAUUCUUUGCCAAGCGAACACUUUAGCUGUCACAUAAUCUUGAGUGAUUCUAUUUGGCCUACCAAGCCACUAAGCCAAAUUGCUUACUUUCCAGCUUCGGCCAAAGCAAUGUACUUUGCCUCUGUGGUCAACAAAGUUGUAAUUGGUUGCAGUAGUGCCCUCCAACUAAUUGGUUCUCCUGCACAUGUAAAGACCUAACCAAAAGUUGACAUUCUCUUGUUCAACUCCCCUGCAUAAUCGGCAUCCGCAUAUCCCCACAUUUUCUUUUUGCUUCUCAAACAUGAUUGCUUGUCGCCAAGAACCUUUUAAGUAACGCAAAAUCCACUUGACUGCAUCCCAAUGUUGCUUUCCUGGAUUUACCAAAAACCUUUUAAGGAACGUAGCCUGGUACACCAAGUAUACAGAGUCGUGUUCCCUGCACAUUGAAAUAUUUAUCCGAGAUGGGUGUGUGUAGCACACAACUACAUGCUUUAGUUGUUUUUCUUCUUCUCUGAUUAAAAAAAAUUACGUUUCUUGAAAAUUCCACUCCACUCAUCUCCAAAACUCAAAUUAUGUUCGAGUAUGGCGCAGCUUGUGUUUUAGUAUGAAAGGAACUGGAAAAGAAUGCCAACCAAAAUAACAAGAUGGUCGAACAACAGCGCGUUCUUGCGGAGAGAAAACGUCAUAUAUAUAAUCCUCGAAAGCACAUAAAAAACUGAAAGAACAUUGAUAACCUAAAAUGCAGAACUUGAAGUCCUCAACUUUCUUUACUGUGGUCAAAAAACUGUACAAAAUCUUUGAUAAGCAACUGUCAUCCAGAUAACAAAACCAAGUAAAUUCUGUACAUAUAUACAUUGUUGCCAGAGACAUUUCCUAUCCAUUGUACAUACAGACACCACAGAGGAGAGUUCACUCCCACUCCUAUUAAAAUCAAUGAAGGGGACUGAAUUGUUUGAAUAAAUAUGAAGAAUCCCGGCUGACAGCAGGAACCACACAGAUAAAAAUUUUGAACGAACAGUUCCCGGCAUGUUCAACUCCAGCACAAUUUUCACCCAAAAGUCAACUUUUGGUUGGAAAUCAACUGGCCUAUGGCUUUCCAAUUUGAUGUGAAAAAAUCCGAUUAAAUAAGCAGAUCGUCCGCUGCCACAUCAACUGAGAUAGGCCAAUUGGGCAUGCAGUAGAGACCACAUGAAGUACCUUUUAGGACUGGGAAACAAUGGAAAAUUCCUUCUGCUGCUCAGGCAUCAAGACAGCCAAACGUAGUUUGUGAAGCUGGCACAAUUUUGCAAGAUUGUUGAAUACUGAGACCCUUGCAACAUUAUUAUCCAAUAAAACGACAUGUGCAAUACUGAAAGCUUCACCUUUCUCAACCGCAAAUUGCAACUCUCUCAUUGAUAUUUCAAACCAGUCUUUUCUUGUAGACUUGGUUGCUUUAACUUCAAUGUACUCUCUACUAUUUUCCUUCCCUCCCAGAACUAUGUCAUAUGGUAGCCCAGUUUCGUUAUGUUCAUUAACCCACUUAACAACUGACUUGCCAGCUUUGUCAACAAAAUAUUUAAAAGCAACAAGCUCACCUAGCCGCCCAGUUAAAAUUGCUUGUGUCGAAUUGGGUGUACCAAAUCUAAGCUGAUCUCUCUUGCUAAAAUUAGAUGAACCAAAGUCAGGAGCAUCAGACACAGGACCAAAACUACUAGGAUCAAACUGGAUAUGCAUUGACAAGUCAGCCUCAUUGUCAGCCUCACUACAAUGUUCUUGCAGACGAUUGGAGUCUGGCAAAACUAAAGCUGCAGAUGUUGCUGAACAAUGUUCAAUUGUCCAAUUAGUGUCAACCGAAACAGGUGUCAAAUUAUCUGUUUGUCUGCUGAUACCUUCAGAAUCAUCACCCAAUUUACUUUGUACAACCGUGUUAGGCUGUGAACCUGGUGCCUGCGUCUUAAAACCAUUUGCACGAGCAUAACCAAACCCUGGUGCAGUUUUCCAAUCAACAGGAGGCCAGGUUGCUGCUUUGCUUUUGGAUUUCAAACUGCUUUGUUCAUUUACUACGGUUGAAAUAGAACUUGUCUGCAGUGGUUUAUCACUCCUCGUUAAGGAAUGCACAGAAGACAAGGACCAAACAGAUUCACCAUCAGGAAGCUUUGGCACCUUUUGGCUAUUUAAGAUGAAAAACUCUGUCUGCUCCUCAUUUGAACCUGACUCUGCCAUGGUUGUGAUCAUAUGAAGGAAAUUUGCAAAGUGCAGUUCAGGACUUCCAUUAAAAAAUAAACGAGAAAGCUCCAGAAAUAAUGCGUGAGAAUCUGACUCUUGGGUUGUAUACAAAAUGCUACCCUGUAUUUGUGAAAUGAAAGGAUUAAGUGUAUGAAAGUGAGAAAAAUUGCAAGUACUCAUCACACCAAAUUCUUGGUAGAAUUAUCUUCCGGAAUCAUAAAACUAUGAGAAACACCAUUUAAUAAGAGAAGUUGAUUAAAAGGAGGAACUUUUAGGGGAUGCAUAAUUUACAUUUUCUAUUUUACCAGAACAAAGUAGGAGGAUGGUGUCACUAUUUUACCAGAACAAAGUAGGAGGAUGGUGUCAAGUAACCUGCAUAAGAUGUUUCACAUACUAAAUCCUUGUAUUUCAGAAGGAUGCAAGUAUAUUGUGGUUCCAGGUAAAGUCUAAAUCAGUUUUAAGUAUAAAAGGAGCAUUAUGAAACACAAACAGCAGGCAUUCACAUUCAAUGAAGGAUGAAAUAACAUACCGUCAGAAGGCAACUACAUUCAACUUGCUUCUUGGAUUCACUUCCAGUACCCUUUAUAACAUUCCGGUAAAACAGCUUUUCAACAACUACUACUUGCAAACAGUUCAGAAAUUCAGACUGCUUGAGUUGAGAAUAUUUAUCUGGGUGUACACCAUUUAAGUACCGCUGAGCAUAUGGAAGAGCCCAAUCCAGCAAUGCAGCUUUAAAGCUAGAGUCUUCGAUACCAGAAUAUAUUGCCUCGCGAGUUACAACCUGCAUGUAAACACAAAGGUAUGGGGAAGUUUCAGGUGCAUGAGUUAAUUUCCAUAAUUUAGUUUUCCAUUUUCUUUUUCAAACUGAUAACCCUGAAUUUUGUAAUACAAUGCAUUGUUCAAUUUAAUGUGGCAUAAUAAUGCAUAGCAACUUUAGAGAUUAUUAUGACGUAUUGAAUUCCAUUUAAUACUCAAACAUGUUGCUUAAGUUUCAUACACAUGCUCACGUGACAUGUGCAUGUUUGUGAACAAAUAGAGACAUGUCUCAGCUCCGCGCACAUAAAGACAUAUCUUAAUCUUACCUCUGAAAGAGCAGGAAUCCCUAAAGUCUGCAUGAGGAUGGACACUUUCGUACAUAGCAUCUCUUCAUCAUCUUUACUCAGUUCACCCAAGUACAGAAAAUCAAUGCCAUCCAAGUGCUUAAACUGCUUGCUUAAUUUCUUAUCAUCACACCAGCACACAAGACCAAAUGACGGAUGUAGAGAAACCCACUUAUCUUGUAAAGUAGGAAGCACCGUACAUUCAAUCUUUGUAAGCAAAUCUUUCAAAUAAAGAACAUCCUCAGCACUCAAUCCUGAUUUUAAUCCAUCAGUCCACUUCAGGAAAACUUGAAAAACCUGACACAAGCAACACAAAACAUUUAGAUCACCCUGCGGCUUGCAUUCAUUGUCAUAUUUCUCUAAACUUGGUUACUUAGUACUUACUGCACUAGCUGCUUGUGAAGGCAAAGCAACAUUUGAUAAAUGAAGCAAAAUCUGAAUGUAGCUUCGGAGAGGAGGGGUUUCAUGUACUCCACAGACGUUAACAAAGAAGUCAUGAAGGCCUGGGUAGAAAUUGCAAAGCAUCUUAAUCAAUGGGCCAUGAGCAACACCUGCUGAGCUGCACUGACGAUGAAUUUCUCUGAUUUGGUCUACAAACGACGUGGAAUCAUGCCAGUAUACUUCUGCAGGGGACAACAAUGUACCACAUACCACAUCCUCGUGCCUGAAGCUAGAUGCAUAAGGAAUAAAUAUAGAAGGUCCUGAAUGGAAAACCUCUGCAAUUUUCUCCGUUGAAGCAGCCAUUUCAUUCCAGAUUAAUGUGUAAAAUUUCAACAUUUGCCCUAGGCUGGAAGACAAAAGAAAAGCCGACUUUAAAGUGUGCAAUCUUUUUUUUAAGAUGCAAAUUUUUUGCAGACCGUGCAAAAUUAAACAAAUACAAUAAGAGUAAAGCGUACAUAUAAAUAUAUGUUUUGUGUCGAGCAUUGCUUAAGGUUGUGAUUUUGAAGGGACAUAUAUCUCCCUAUAAGAACAUUGCUUAAAAUUACCUCCCGAUUAUGUGGAUCUAAUGCCUAUAAAAGCAAAUGAUACUGUAGAGGUAAUGCUCUAGGUUUAAGCACUUCAAUUUCUUUGGUAAUAGUAUUCACAAAAUUGGUGAAACCAAAACAUUUAGCCUAAGAUAUAAGAAAUAAAAGCUAAUGAUAUCACUCCUGAAUAAAAUGAGGUCAAUCAUGAUGGAGGGAAAAUCAUAAUCAUACCUGGCCUGGAAUUCAUUUUCACGCCUCCAUAACUUCAAGACCUCCAGAGCAUCGUCAAGAGAAACUAUUGUCUUAAAGCCAAUAUCACGUACGAAAUUCUCACUUCUCACCUGUUUCAAAAGAAUAAAAAAACAAUGGAGCACAUGGAUCAAGAAACUUCAAACAACAUUUAAGAUUUUGUACAGCUGAAAUUGUAGUUAUUAUAUCCACAGUAUAGCAUUGUCUCACAUCCAUGUUAUAGAACAUAUAGCAAUCGAAAAGUAUGCCGCUACGCCUUCCAGAAACAACAUAUGCAAAAUAUUCUUGAGGUGUAUUGCUCAUUUCAUAGUGGAAACAAUAGGGAUUGCUAAAGAGGAUUGGAAUCUAGAGCUAUUGAUUUUUUUCUUUUUCAAAUUUGGUAAUAAUAUAGACCUGUAAUCAAAAGAUGCAGCCAUCUCCAAAUUCUAAACAUAUAAUAAAUUCUAAUAUCUCUAACUAGGUGUAAUUUCAUUUUUUUAUUUAAUAAAUUUUCACCUCAUACAGUCGAGUUUUCUCUUGAAAAAAACAAAAGUUUCAUUCCAAUAUAGGUACCAAAAUCUGAGCCACAUUCUCUAAAAAAAAAACAAAAGGUUCUGGAACAUCACUGUAAGAAUCAAACAACCACCGCAGACUGCUUCACAUAGGAAGGGACCAGACCUGAGUUGUGGAACAAAUAAGACUUGGAGUUGAGUUUGUUCGAAAAUUUAGCAUCAGAUAUGCCAUAAUUAUUCGGUGGUAAAAUACUGAACAACUGUGCUUCACUUGACCCUGGUUGGCUCAAUAAAAAAUGAAUAACCACAUUCCAGAACCCAAAAUCCCCAUGACUUUGACAGAAUCAUAAAUCUUAACCCUCAUAUGUCACCACGUAUGAAGAAAAUGGCCAGAAAAUCAACAAACCAUUUAAAAAGGGAGGAUUAGAUUUGAGAGAGGUUUUGCUUUGAUGAAGAUGGCAUGGGUGUUGCAUUAGCGAGUUUUGAGGUUAAUAAUAGCGACACCCAGGCCAUCUUAGUCAAGUAAAAACCUCUCCCAACAUAAUCCUCCCAUUUUAAAUCGUUUCUUGAUUUUGUGGCUUAUUCUUCAUUUUGCACAUGUAAACAGUUGGAUAUGAAUUAGUAGGUCAACAGAGAGGCGGUGGGGGAAUUAUUAAGGAAGUACAGCGUCCAAACAGCAACACCGUAUAAAUAAUGUUAAUUAAUUUCGGACAACCAAUUCGGGUUCAUGCCAGGGCGCUCAACCAUGGAGGCAAUCUAUCUCUUACGAAGAUUGAUGGAAAGAUAUAGAGAUGGGAAAAAGGAUUUACACAUGGUCUUUAUAGAUUUGGAAAAAGCGUAUGAUAGGGUCCCAAGAGACAUUCUUUGGAGGAUUUUAGAGAAGAAAGGAGUACGAGUAGCAUAUAUCCAAGCUAUAAAGGAUAUGUAUGAAGGAGCAAAGACUGCCGUAAGAACUCAUGAAGGACAAACCGAAAGCUUUCCCAUAACUGUAGGAUUACAUCAAGGCUCAUUCUUAAGUCCUUACCUUUUUGCGUUGGUAAUGGAUCAGUUAACAGGACAUAUUCAAGAUGAUAUUCCUUGGUGUAUGCUUUUCGCAGACGAUAUAGUGUUGAUAGAUGAAACUCAGGAAGGGGUAAAUGCAAAGCUUAACCUUUGGAGAGAAGUGUUGGAAUCUAAAGGUCUUCGCCUAAGCCGAUCAAAAACAGAAUAUAUGGAGUGCAAGUUCAGUGCAAAUGAAGGCCAAAACAAGUUAGGGGUGAGGAUCAGAGAUCAAGAAAUACCAAAGAGCGACCGUUUUCGUUAUCUAGGAUCUAUCUUGCAAAAGAACGGAGAAUUAGAUGGAGAUCUCAACCAUAGAAUACAAGCUGGAUGGAUGAAGUGGAAGAGUGCAUCUGGCGUGUUGUGUGACCGCCGUAUGCCACUGAAGCUCAAGGGAAAAUUUUAUAGGACGGCAAUAAGGCCGGCGAUGCUGUAUGGCACAGAAUGUUGGGCGGUGAAGCAUCAACACGUACACAAAAUGGGUGUAGCGGAGAUGAGGAUGCUUCGCUGGAUGUGUGGGCACACGAGAAAGGAUAAGAUUAGGAAUGAGGAUAUCCGGGGUAAAGUAGGAGUAGCCGAAAUUGAAGGAAAGAUGAGAGAAAAUCGGUUACGGUGGUUUGGACAUGUGCAAAGAAGGCCUACUGACGCUCCGAUUAGAAGAUGCGACUAUGGGACAGAGGUUCAGGGCCGAAGAGGUAGAGGAAGACCUAGGAAAACUUUGGAAGAGACUCUAAGAAAAGACUUAGAGUACUUGGAUCUAACGAAGGACAUGACACAGGACCGAGCACAAUGGCGUUCUAAGAUUCAUAUAGCCGAUCCCACUCAGUGACUUGGAUUUUCCAAGUCUCCAAUCGAGAAGUUUUCCUCACUCAGAAAAUUAAGGGAACACUACCCCAACCUACAUGCUCCACUCAGAAAACUUCAACAUACAAGCUUCAACAAAAGAAAAUUCAAAGAACUUAGCGAAGAAGGCUUUGGUGUAUUUAACACAAUACGUUGAAAUGAAGAAAAGCUUAUUUAUUGAUAUCCCCGAUAAGCUACAAAUAUGUACAUAUACAUGAGUCAAAAUAAACAAACAAGAUGGAGCCUUCACAAAGGUUGCUUAGGAGAAGUCUCAGCAGUCGGUAGAGCCUCAGAAAGAGAAAGCAUCGGAGGGGGAUCAUUCGGAGCCUCAGUACUGGACAGAACCCUAGAAGGAGGAGGCAUCAGAGGUUGAUCAUUUGGAGCUUCAUUACGCGGUACAGCCCCAGAAGACGAAGGCAAUAAAUGCCUUUGGAACAAACCCACAAAUCUCUGAUGAUCAAGUAAAACCUGACCAUCAGUUUCCUUCAUCUGGUCAAGCUUCAUCUUCAUGUUUGUAGCAUAGUCAUGUGCGAGCCGGUGCAACUGUUUAUUCUCAUGCUUGAGCCCUCUAAUCUCCUGUUUGAGACUCAUCACUUCGGCCGCCAAUGAUUCAACUUGGCGGGUUCGAGCAAAUAGGCGUUGGGCCAUAUUAGACACAGAACCUGCACACUGAACACUGAGAGCCAGCGAAUCCUUAACAGCUAACUCAUCAGACCGUUUGGAAAGUAGUCUGUUAUCUUUGGGAGUGAGAAGGUUCCUGGCCACCACCGCAGCGGUCAUAUCAUUCUUCAUCACGGAAUCCCCAACGGUAAGAGGACCAGUAGGGGAGACGAAGCAUGGGCGCCAUAUGUUGUCUGGAGAAGGCGGGGUUGCCUCUUCAACAAGGUUCAAGUCAAAACGACGGUCGGAGGGGCCAGACAUUUUCAAAGGUGUUGAAGAGAGAAGAGGUCGGACAAAUCAAGAUCUUAGAAGUGCAAGAAUGGAGCUUCUACUGGUGGAGAUUCAAGUGUGCUUUGGAACUUAAUGCCAACCCUUAUAAAAAGCUGCACUCGACGGAGCUUCAGACAUCGAAGAGGCGCCUGCCCAGAAAUCGAAGAGGCGUUUGCUUUCUCAAAAGCUGGGCUGCUUAGAGACCACGAGGGUUGAUCGCAUAAAUCGAAGAGGUGUUUGCUUUCUCAAAAGUUGGGCUGCUCAAAGACCACGAAAGCCGAUCUCAGAAAUCGAAGAGGCGCUCGCUUUCUCAAAAGCUGGGCUCCUCAGAGACCACGAGGGCUGAUCUCAGAAAUCGAAGAGGCACCUACUUUUCCAGCCUUGUCAGCACCUGUCACACGCACACUCAGCUUUGCCGAAAUUAUGGGUAUUCUGUCGAAGACUUCUGGGGAAGUAGAAAACACAUGAAUCUUACUGUCCAAUCACCCACUUCCCACACGCAACAAUAGCUCAUGGGUACCACAGAUAACUUUGCCAAAGUUCUCUGCCAAAGUUGAGCACGUGAAGCUUGCAGCUCCCACUACAUCGCUCUGACCAAGAAGGGUAAAAGAAUAGCAAAGAAACAGCACUAACAAAGUUUAGACCCAUAAAUUUUGAAGGUCUAGCUACCAUAUUAUUACCCACAAGGGUAAAGGAACAGUACCACUGCUGGAUAAUUGGAAAGUCCCUGUGUGUCAACCUCUGUGCCUCGUGGCAAGGUAGACUAGCAAACAUGCCCAACCUUUACUCACAUUCGAGAAAACACUCCCAAUAAGAUUGAUUGCUCCAAAAUCGAAGAGGCACCGUCCUCCGAAUCUCGAGAGCCAGACUCCCAACAUGACUACUUUCUCAAAAAGCGAAGAGAGGGUAAAGGAACAGUACCAUUGCUGGAUAAUUGGAAAGUCCCUGUGUGUCAACCUCUGUGCUUCGUG
rnacentral:lncRNA from 1 species